rnacentral:lncRNA from 1 species
UUGCUUUAUGUGCAGUUGUGGGUUCUGAACCACAAGCAAACCACAUGUAUCAAUUUCCCAAUACAUAUGCAUGUAGGUGGCUGCAAGCACAGCAAAUAGGGAAAAUGCUGUCAAAUUAAAUCAUCUCAUUCAAACCUUGUCAGGCUCCUUGGCUGAUCAUCCAAUUUAUCAACACCAUCUUGCACGAUACCAUUUGAAGAUCUGGAAUUUUCAGAUAUUAUACUGCCUGCAAUCUCCUUAAGACCCUGCAUUAACAUAGAAGACAUGAAUUGCUUAUGAAGUCAAAGAAAUGUUAAUUGCCUCAAGAGAAGAAAAAAAACACCUAAACACCAUCAUCAACCCACACAUCCAUACAAUCACAAACUAGCAUUUAAGUAUCAAGUUUCUCAUAGCUACAAUCAAUGAACAGCUUCUUAACCCCUUGAUGGUACCAUGAAACUUGAAAGCAUACAUCCAGGUGGGUUGACUUGAAGUUUGAACCAUGAGUUGCACUGCAAACUAUAAUAUCAAUUCAACCAACUGAAAUGCCAAAACCAGGCAGUCUGCACUGGGGAAACAUAAAUUUAUUUUUCAUGUUGUGAAAAGAAAAGAAUAAAGAAUCUCCUUCAAAAGCAUUUGUAAUUUCUAUAAAUUUUUCAUGUCAUGAAAAGCAGAGAUUAAAGAAUGUCCUUCAAAAUAAUUUCUACUUUCCCCAGCUAGCAAAUCGGAGUUUACUUCCAAAACCCUCAGUGGAAAAAAGAAAAGGAUGUAUAAGACUUCACCAAGCCCAUCAACUUAAAAAUGUUGCAAUGAAGUGGUAACAGAAGCUUUCACUGAAAUAACCAGAUACCAAACCACCUGCUUGGCAGGCCAGCCCACUUAUAAAAUGGAAAUGGAAUAACUCUUGUGAAGCAAACAGCUAUGCAUAAACCUAAGCUCUAACCAUUUGAAAAUGGCACCAUUCAUGUAAAACAGAAGAUGACAAGGUCAUCAAUUUGCACAUUCAAUAACUGUGUAUUAUUAUCACCAGAUUGUCAAUUGAGAUCAUGGAGCAUCUAACAAUUAUUUUUGAAGUCAGAAAGAGGGAUACCUGGAAACUUGGAGCUUCUGUAGAUGUGAGUAAACCGUGGGACUUGCCAGGUAGUUUAAGCUGUUUCUGAAAGAAGAUGUUGAACAAAGGAUGUGAUCAGUGAGAACAUGUAGAUGAGGAAUCUCCCAGAUAUGACACCACAUUUGAGAGUAAAAAAAAUGUAAAAAUGAAUUCAAACUGUAUUCUUUAACAGGUCAGGUAAAUAAGCAGAAAUUAAUCCAGAUAUCCAGAUGUGUUCAAUACUAAAUAUAAAAAUAUGCUUUAGAUUGAUGGGGAAAAGAUUGGACUUCAGAUCAAUGGGAAUAACGAUGGCAUGCCAUCAAUGCUCAUUGGCAUCAAACACCAUGUGGUUAAUGAAUGCAUUGAGGACCCACACAGAGCAUGUUAUCAAGGAGAAUUAAAGAGGUGCAGCUGUAUGUGGAUUAUAAUAUUAUCUAAUUACAUUAAGGCACUGCUGUUUGAACAUCUAGUGAACAAAAGCAUCUUAACUUGGAUCUAAGGUAGAUGGAAAAAUUCUUUUAAGCAUAGCAAGUAGUGAAUAAGAAAUUAUUUUACACUUAAAAGUCAAUAGCAAACUUGAAAUUUAUGUAGCUACUAAUACCAACCAGCAUAGUUUCAGACAUUGGUACACUUCUUCCAUUAACAGCGUUGCACAGGUACACCACACCCUCAACUGCAAAAUUCUGUUGCCAAAAUUAGGUUAGCAUAUGCUCAAGCCAACAACUAUGGGAAAAACAUAAACCACAGAUGCAACUGCAAGUUACAUAAGAAUGUAACAGGUGGCUAUUAUUACCAUAACACAGCAGAAAACAAGAAAUGUUUGUAAAUAUAACAAGACACACUGAGAUUACACUGCAAAUAUGAGCUUUUCCAUAAACAAUCUAAUAUAUAUAUCAAACCAGCCAACGGAUAAUAUUGUAGACAAUAAGAUAAUAGUAGAAUAUUUAGAUAUCAUAAGUUCCAAUUUGUAUCUCCCAAACACUAGUAUUGGAUAUUUUGCUAUUAAGAAUUAAUGUGAUCUUCACCAUAGCAGUAGAUAAAAAGAGUUCAGGUUGGCCGUUCUAAUCAUCUCUUAUUCAUUCAAACAGUAACUUUAGGAUUUUGUAGCCAUCAGAUCUAAGAGUUAUUUCAGUAUUUUUGGAUAUUUUCAGGAUAAUAAGCAAUUGAUUUCAUAGGGACCCAUUUGCCUUUGUUUCGCAUCAUUACCAACUACGUACCGAAAAAAUGCCCCUUCUAAAGAAAUCAUGCAUUCAUCAUGUGUUGUGACUCACAAUUUGUGCAGCUUACCCUCUCAUUUUUUCUAAACUUUCCAAUCACUGGAUUCCUUGUUUCCUUGCUUCCUUUCUUUUUUCUUAGUUCAGUAGCAUUAAUGAAAACUCAAUAAAAGGAAAUAUAAACAUCUUUAAGAUUCUUAUCAUAUGACCUGUUACUGCUAUCCGGGAGGCACCCUGAUGUAUUUUCAUAUUUCUUCCUUUGAGAUGUGAAAGAUGAAUUUUCUUUUUCUUUUUUUUCUUUUUUUUGAUAGGUAAGAGAAAUGACUCAAUGAGAUGUAUUAAAAAGUGCCUAAUAUAAGGGGGCACACCCUAUAUACAAAGGGGGAUAUGAAAGAUAAAAAUUUUAAAGGAAAUGAGAACAAGACAUUAAUCUUUUUUAUGAGCAUGAAACAUAUUGAAUCAAAAAAGAAAACACACUCAAAAUAAGACGGUAAUCUUUAAUCAACAAGCAGGACACACUUCUACAGAUGUUUACCUGUAACCAACAAAGCCAUUCAUGUAUUUAAAACCACUACUAAAGGCAUUAUCUUCCCUUGAUUGCCCAGAUAAAGUUCUCUUCUUGAAUACAAUCCCUUAUAUUUAUUUUUCUUUUUCUUUUUUGUACUUCAAAUUUUUUGGAUUGCAAGCUUUUCUCAGGCCAGGAUAAGCAUUGAAAACAGAUAUAAGUGUUGACCAUGUUCCACAAUAAUAUAGUUUCUUUUUUUCAAAUCAGAUAACAAUAUAAAAGGUAUUUCACCUGCUUAUAUUCCAAUGAACCUAUCUUCCCAUCCUGCAAUUGAAAACAAAAGGUAUUCACAAGAAUUAAAGAAGAUUCACAAAAGAAAUGAGAAAAAAGUAUAUGUUAAGAAAAAAAAACAGAAGAAAGAAACACAUCAAUAUAUGCUAAGUGUGUACUGUUGAAUUAACAAUCUGCCAAGCUACCCAAUAAAGCUGUUUAAUAUCCACCACAUUGAGACAAAAUGGGUGCUUAGCUCAAGUUGUUCAAUCUAUUGGAGAUUUGCUACAAUCUACCCAUGAUACCCUAGAUUUAUAUCAAGGAAAAAGACAUUUGAUUUGGAUUUUGAAAAGAGAUGCUAUGUACAAACAAAUGCUCCUCUCACUCUAUGACAGAGGCCCCAUAUUCACAGGAGAACCUGGCAAGUCACAGGUUCGCUGGGUGAUUAAUGCAUCCACAGCCCUACUUUUAGGUGAUAGAUACACCCGCUAGGGUAGUCCAGUUGGUCAAUGCGAACAUUGGGAAGUGUGGUCCCAGUAAGUGGCACAUGGUCCUAAGUUCGAAUCUUGCCACUAAUGAUACCCUGAAUUUAGCCAGUACUAGUUGUUGCAGGGUGGUCAGCACCCCGAGGUUUGGGUCCCCAUGGAAAGUCCUAAGGGCUUGGCCAUGGAAGGUUCCUUGAUUAUCCAAAAUGAAAAAUAAAAAAUUGGGUGAGAGAUACAUGCAGCGCCUACUUUUUGGAGUGGAUUUUAAGGUCAAGUUUUGGUGAGAGAUAGAAGCAUUGCUUCCUCCAUUAAGUGGAUUUAAGGUUACAAAGGAGAUUUGUUUUUUUUUCUAAAAAAUAUUCUUCACAAAAGAAAAAAAAAAUUAUUAGUGAAAAAUAUACAUGCAGAUCUAACAUGGGGUGUAUUCAAAUGUACAGUCCAUUCAUUAAAUACAUCAGCGAUGACAUAAUUUCUAAAAAUUUAAUACAGAGAUUCAGUAGGCUACUUUUCCCUACUCAAUCUCUGUUCUUAAAGCCCAAAUACAUUAGCUAGACAUAUUUCUCAAAAAAAUUUAUGAUAUUUUAAGUGUACAGUCCAUUCAUUUAAUGAUUUUUUCUUUUUUAUUUUUUGGUUUAUGUGCUGCCUCAACUGUAGCCUUCUUUUUAUAGAGCCUCAUUGUUGAAUGAGAUUGUGUAUGAAGUUUGAAAUUUUUCUCCAAAUAAAACUCAUCAAUCCAACUUAUCAGAAAAAAAAAAAAAAAAAAAAAACAAACAAACUAAAAACAAAACAAAACCUCACCAAUCCAGAGACCAUCCUUUGUAGUGAAUCCAAGUCAAAGCCAAUUUGAGAAAUAUCACCACGAGCUUCAGUAACCUGUUUCACAAGUCUGUUAAUAAUUUAAAAAAGCAGAAAUUCCAUGAUAGCACAUAGUAUUAUAAUAAAAUGCAAUAAAUCAUGCUAGAUCCUUAUUGAAUUGAAUUGAAUUGAGAUCAAUUUAGAACAUGGAAAUGACCACAUCAAAGAUUUGGAUACUUAUUAUGUAUUCGAUACGUUUCCCUGUAUCUAAAUCAGUUGCAGAUCACAAUUUAAUGCUUUAAAGGGUUGGGAGGGUUUGUGCAAGGUUCCAGGUUCAAGUCCCAAUGGGAACAAAAAAUUUACCCAUAAAAAAAAAAGGCCUGUUUGUUAUUCAAUAAGCUUCACCAGAAUUAAUUAUUCUGAGUGCAUGGUAUUAAGAUAAACAUAUUCUGAAACUCUCUUUUUUUUUAAAAAAAAACUUUAUUUUUUGUUGCUUUACGUUGUUUCUUAGAUAUAAGAUACAAACUCAUUAGGGCAUAAUACAAUAAGGGAGGUAGAUUUUUGGAUGUACCUCAUUCUUAAUUAACUUCGAGAUCUCCUUCUGCUCAUCCAGUUUUCCAUCCAAAUUCUCAAUUCGCUGUGUCAAAUGCCUUUUUGUUGCCUGAUCACCAAAAGAAUUUACAAGAAUCAAGAAGCUAUAUACAAAUUUCAUGAUAUUUACGAAAUUAUAACAAGGGAGGUUCAUUAUAAUAUAUGCACCACAAUUCAUAAUCAAUUCAAUAAAUUGUCACAAGUUAAAGGCUAGAAAUAAAAAUCAGUUGGAAACAAAACUCUCCAACUUAUCUCCUCAAUUCAACUGAAAAAAAAUUCAGAUGACAGCAACAUAGGGUCCAGUCCGAGAGCAUAACUACUGGGCAUUAACUACAUCAAUCCUUCACAUUAACAUGCCAGUCUAGAGCCCCAUCCUAAUGCCCCCACUCCACAAACAAACAAUCAAACAAAAAACCAAAAAUGCAUCAAAGGAGAUGUCAUGAAGUAUCACUUGGUGCUGCAAAAAGGAUACACAAUGGAAGCUAAAAUAUGAAUUUGUGCAUCAUCAAUUAAACAUAGAGGGCUCAAGAAAAAAAGAGUCAUUUGCAAAAAUUUAGUGCACUUGCUUUUAAUGAAAUUGAAGAGCCCACUUUGUAACAACAAAAUCCUUAUUAUCGAACUCUUUUCAAUUUCUCAAUUUUUAUUGAAAACAAGGAAAACUAAUUUUUUAGCCUGAAAUGUUGACAUGCAAUAAAAGGUUUAUAGAGCAAUAUUAAUGGGAAAAUUCAAUACAAAUAGUUAGAGCAAUGAAGAUUUUUAGGCUACUUUAAUAACUGUUUCUUUUGAAAGGAAACUUUUGUACAAUUUUAAACCAAUCCAAAACAUAAACUAGAAUAAAAUAAAACAAAUCUAUACUAUGCUGUCUUAAUUCACAAGGAUAAAAAAUAACACAAUUUUUUGAUAAGCAAUCAAAGAGAAGAUAUAUAUUAGUAAAAAGAGUUAUACACCAAGGAACACAAGUUGUACAAAGGGAAACAAAAGGCAUAGCACGGAAGAGGGAAAAUACAAAAAAGUGCUCCCUCUCUCAUCUAGAUCCCAUCCAAUCUACAUAAUCGAUCAAAGGCAUUGAUCAAUUUUGAAGAAAAUUGUAUAGCCUUUACAAAGAAACAAGGAGAAUGAUGCAUGAGACCACAGAAAACCAAGAAUUGCGACCCACAAUAUCAAAAAUAUAACAUGUCCAUACAUGAAUCAUCAUAACUAAUGAUCAUCCAGAAAAAAUGAACUAUAGCAUGAGCAUCCACACAUUGUUGAAAAAACCAAUUGUGAACAACUCAUAAAAAAUAUCUAAACUGUUUGGAACACAAAGAAUGUGCUUCUUUUCAAAGUAUCUGAUGUGCUCACCUUUUGACAUGUGAAGGAUACCUACUAUAGACAACAGUACAGUAUUUUGAAGGGCCUCAGAAAUAUCAGUAGUUGCUAAAACUUCUUUUGUUUAAUAGGCAAAUCAGUAACUGCUAAAAUCACCCUAAAAGUGAAAAACAAGACAUAAUAGAGUCGUACCCAUUCCAAAUAAAAAUCAAAAACAAUAUCAUAGAAAAGUAAAAUAGAUAUUCGCAUAUGUUUUUCUGAUUAACAUCUAGUCCACUUAAAUGAAAAAAGGGAAACCCUUACACAAGCUUCUUUGCAGCAUAUAUAAAAUAAGACAACAUUAGCAAAACUAAGACUUACAGAAAGAGCGUCUGAGACAUGCUCCAGAUGCUUUUUCAAGUUUGUAACCGCAGUUUCCAUAUUCUUCUUCGUUACAUACAUAAGAUCUGAUAUUGAAAGACCCUAUACAUUUAAGGAGAAGAGAGAGAGAGAGAGAGAGAGAGAGAGAGAGAGAAUAAGUAAAUAAAGGAACAAAUUAAUCUCUUAGCAUGAAAACUACCAUUUCGAUAACUAAAAAUUAGAACAUUCUGGAAACCUCAACAAUAUUAAGCAUGUGACUUUCUUCGAUCAAGGCACCUUCCAAAGAAGUUUAAAUGUCACUUUCUAGGUUUUGAUCCCAAAAAAAGCAACGUAGAAGACUUGAAAGAUCUUAAGUCCAUCAAUUUUAGAAAGGGGAGUGUAUAAACUUUUACAAAAAGUUUUGGCAAAUAGGCUCAAAACAACAGUGGAAAAGCAGUUUCAACCUAUCAGCAUGCUCUUGUAAAAGGAAAACAAAUUCUAGAUGCAAUUCUUAUUGUUAAUGGAGCGCCCCCUGUUUUGGCGUAUUUUUAUUUGAUUUCUUCUCUGUCUAUCAAAAGAAAAGCAAUUCUUAUUGCUAAUGAGGCCACUGAUUUAAAGUUAAAGAGCAUCAACAUGGAGGUUAUCUGCAAGAUCGACUUCAAGAAAGGAGUACGAUCACAUCAACUGAGAAUUCUUAAUUAUGGUUUUGGUCAAAAGCAGAUUACAUGGAUAAAAUGGUGCAUAUCCACCACAUACUUCUCUGUUCUAUUUAAUGGGAACCCAUUUGGCUUCUUUCAAAGCCCUAAGGGUUUAAGGAAGGGAAAUCCUAUUUCCCCUUAUUCAUUUUGACGAUGAAGGCUCUCAAUCAGAUUCUGAGUAGAGCUAGGGAAGGGAGUUCAAUUUCAGGAUUUAAGGUGGGUCAAAUGGGAGGAGAGUGGAUGAAAGUGCCUUAUCUUUUGUUUGUCUUCUUGUCGAUGAUACCCUAUUUCUUUGUGACACCAAUCAAGGGUAAUUGAAACAUUUGAGUUGGAAGUUGCCAAUUAGGGGACUAACUAAUGUGGAGGGAUUAGCUUCUAUGUUGAGCCAUAUAGUGGGGAAGUUGCCAACUACCUAAUUGGGCCUCAGGUUUUUCCCAAGAUUUUUUGUGAGAGGUAUCCCCGCCCCAUGUAUUGAGUUAUGUAGUGGGGAAGCUGCCAACUACCAAUUUGGUCCUCCCUCUAAAUCAUCAUGGGUGUAGGAAGCAGUGGAGGAGAGAUUUCGAAAAGAUUGGUGUUGUGAAAUAGGCAAUAUUUAUCUAAAGGAACACUUAGUAUGAUUAAAAGCUCAUUAUCAAGUCUUCCAAUCUAUUUUGUCUUUGGUCAUUAUUUUGAGAAGGAUAAACUAAAGUCUAGAGUAGAUCCAAAGAUUUUUUUUUUGGGGUGAGAGCUUGAAAAAAGGACUCGGUUAAUUGGUCUAUUGCCUACUUAGGGGAAAAAAAAAAAGGACGAGGGCCUUGGCAUUUAUAAUCGAUCCACUUUAAACAAGACCAAGUGGAAGUGGAUAUCCAUAACUGACAAAGAGUUCUCAUAGAUACAUGUCAUAAUAGGGAAGAAUAGAGUAGAGGAAGGAGGUUGGUAUUCGAAGGGUAUGAGGAAUGGCUAUGAAGUAGGGGUGUGGAAGAAAAUUAGAAACAGGUGGGAGGCUAUUAGAAGCAAGGCUUGCUUCAUAAUUUUUUUUAUUUUUUAUUUUUGGUUGAUAGGUAAAAGAAGAUUGUAUUAACAAAAAAAAAGUAUACACAACGUAUACAAAGCAACCAGAAGCGCAAAAACACAAAAACCACCAACCGCAUCCUAAAAAGGGCCUAACUAGUCUAUGAAGUCUAACAUCAACAAAGAACCAUCCCCAAUGUACAAUCUAACUCAAUCCCAAAAAUGAUACAAAAAAGAACUUUUAAUUGUUUGGUCUAAGUGUUCACAGUUCAAAGGCUCUCCUAUUCUUUUCCCUCCAAAUGGUCCAAAAUAGGCAUAACAUAGCAAUCCUCCAAGCCUUUUCUUCAUUUUUUGCCAAUAAAGGAAUCACACCAACUCAAGAGCAUCCCUCUCACUAAAUAGUGCAUCACCAAUUGUACAUCAAAUAAAGCAAAAAAUCAAUUGCCACAAAAUGUGUGCUUUUGGACAAUGUAAGAGGAUAUGAUCACUUAUUUCUUCUUCUACUUUGCACAUAUAGCAUCUAUUCAACAUCCUCCAACCCCUCCUUUUGAGCUGCUCCUGAGUCAAAAUCUUGGCCUAAGUUGCUUCCCAAACAAAGAAACUAGCUCUUACAGGGACCCAAGAAUUCCAAAUUGGACCAUAAGGUAAUGACUCCACCCUCCUGCUUGCUAAGGAGGAGUAAAAAGACUUAACUGAGAAGUUACCAUCUUUGUCUCCAUCCACACCAUAAUAUCAUCGAUAUCCAAACAAAUGGAGUGAUCAUACAACCUCUUAAAAAAGACAUCUACCUCCUCCAACUCCCAAUCAUGUAGCUAUUGGAUAAACUUAGGACCCCAACUACUAUCGUCUCAAACAUCAAUCACACAAGCAUCUUUUGAAGAAGUUAUAGAAUAAUGAUCCGGAAAAGAGUCCCUCAAAGGCAUGUCCCCACACUACUUGUCCUUCCAAAACUUCACCCUGUUCCCAAAACCAAUCUUAAAGCUUGAUUUAUCUUUGAAAGUCUCUCAUUCAUUUUUUAUUGUCUUCCAAACCCCCACUCCAUCUCUCUCUCUCACUUCUUUAGUGCACCACCCCCCUUCUUCUUGUCUAUACUUACCAACAAUUAUCUGUUUUUGAAAAGGGUGCCCUUCACUCAUAAAUCUCCAAGACCAUUUCCCCAAAAGAUCCUUGUUAAAGAUCGAAAGGUUUCUAAUGCCCAAUCCCCCUUUCCAUUUAUCCAAACAAAUAAUAUACCAAUUCACCAAAUGUGGCUUAUUGGCCACAAGCGCCCCCUCCUCUCCCCCAAAAGGAAGUCUCUCUAAAUCUUCUCCAAUCUAAUAGCUAACCUCUUAAGGAUGACAAAAAGAAACAUGAAAUAAAUCAAUUAGUCGGAUAAGGUACUCUUUAUCAAUGUCUGUCUCCCGCCUUUUGAGAGAUAUUGUCCCUUCCACAAAGCAACCCUUUUCUGGAAAUGUUCUUCCACCCCCCCACCCGCCUCUCUUCCCACACCCUAAAGGACUUGUACGGGGCACCCACCUUGCAUCCCAAAACCACAGCAAGCUCCUCCAAAUUUUAGACUUCCCCCAUUGGAAUCAAUUCACUUUUCUCCAGAUUAAUCUUUAGCCUGAAAAUUGCCUCAAACCACAUGAAAACCCAGCUCACGCACUCUAACUUCUCCUUACUAGCAUCACAGAGAAUGAGGGUAUCAUCUGCAAAUAACAAAUGAGAGACCUCUACUCCCACAUCAUCUCUUUCUCCAACUAAGAAGCCAUCGAUAAAACCCCCUUCCUUUGCCCUGAUAAGGAGGUGAGAAAGAGUCUUCAUCAUGAAGAUGAACAAAUAAGGAGACAAAGGGGCCUCCUUCUCUCAACCCCUAGAGCUUUGGAAGAAGCCAAAAGGGGAUCCAUUUAACAGGACAAAAAAACAUAUUGUAAAGAGACCAUCUAAUCCAUCUUAUCCAUUUGCAACUAAACCCCAUUCUCUCCAAAACCACAAGGAUAAAACUCAAAUUAACAUGGUCAUAACUCUUUUCAAUGCCAAUCUUACAAAUGAUUCCUCUCAAGUUGCCUUUAACUUCAGAAUCAAUGGCCUCGUUUGCUAUCACAACAACAUCCAAAAUUUGCCUCCCCACCACAAAAACAUGCUAAAAAUCUGAGACUAAGUUUCCCACCACCUUUUUAAGUCUGUUAGCGAAGAGCUUGUAUAAACCUCCUACCAAGCUAAUAGGUCUAAAGUCCUUUAAAUCUUCUGCAGCACCAAAACUAGAAAUGUGGCGUUUAAACUCCUCUUAAAGGUCUUUAGCUCAUGGAAUUUCUCUAAAACCACCAUAACCUCUUGUUUCACAAAGUCCCAACAAAAUUGCCAAAAACCCAAGGAGACGUCAUCCGGUCCAAAGGCCUUAUCACCACUUAAGCAAGAUAAAGUUGCAAAGACCUCCUCUUCAGAGAAGGGAAUCUCUAGAGCUUGGGAAUCAUCACUAGCUAAGGAAUCAAACACCAACCCAUCAAUGUUCGGCCUCCACUUCCCUACCUUGGAUAGAACCAUGUGGAAAGCAUUUGCUACACCUUCUUUAAUAAUGUCCUCCCCAGAAAGCAAUACAUCAAUCACCCUUAACUUGUCCAGAAAAAUCCUUCUUUGACGAGCAUUGGUCAUUUUAUGAAAAAAUCUAGUAAUCUUAUCCCCUUCUUUUAGCCGAAGUUCUCUUGAUUUUUGUCUCUAAGAGAUUUCCUCCAAUUCUGCCCAUUUUUUUAAAUCGUCCACCAUCCCCCUUCUAACCUCACAUUCCUCCACUGUAACAGGUCUUUCCCUUUCCUUUGCAUCCCACAACCCUAAUUGUGUCAAAGCCUCAAGCUUUUUUGUGGAAGAGUCUUGCCCAAUAUUAUUUUCUGUAAAAGCCACCAAAGAUGAUUGGGUAGUAAAGACAUGGGAGCACUUUAAGGAGGGGGGUUAAUUGAGUCCCCAUUUUUUAUUAUAAUUCAAUGAUUGGGAACUUGAAGAAGGAGAAAUCUUUUUACAAAAAGUGCAUAUAUGUUUAAUUAGAGGUGAUAAGGAAGAUAGGUUGAACGAGAAGGAAAUCAAAUGUGGCAAGUUUUCUAUUGGAUACUCUUUGCCUCCUUAGCCAAAGGAAGAAGAGAUUCCUUUCCUACAAAAGCAUAAUUUGGAAUUCUUGGGACAGUAGGGUUAUUUGCAUGGAAAGCGACAUGGAGAAUUGGCUCAUAAAUUACUCUUUAUAACAAUUAGAAAAAAAAAAUCAAUUCCACUCUUUCCAAAUACUGCAAAUAAGUACAAAGGGAUCAUCCACCCCAUGCUCUUCCUUCUGUUGCCAAUAAAGUUAUCAUGCCAACUAUCCAAGGUCUCCUUAAAAAAAGGGAGGCAAAACCCAAUGAAACUAUAAUAGAGCAAAUAACAAAGACCACAAACUAAUCAGGAUAUGUUUUGCUAAUUCCCCCAUUGAGUAGCAAAUUAGGAAGAAUCUCGUCCCUUAUAAGUUGGCCAAUCAUUAGCAUUUUCUCCUUGAUUGCUUCCCAAAUGUAUUAUUAAAAAAAACAAUCCCAAUUUUACUUAUUAGAAAAAAAAAACAACUAUCCCAACUCUUGGAAGGAGCAUAAGUACCACCAUGUUCCUAGCCAAAAAUGUACAAAAAGUCUCCAAGCAAAACCAUUUGUGGAAAAAAUUCAUAGAAAAGCACUUUCAUUGGGACAAUCCCACAUUAGGCUACUUUUCCUCCCACCAACAAUCACUGCAGAGUGAAUAAACUCUAAAACAACUCUACUAACUACAAAUCCCAAUUGUAAAACUCAUCAGGAUCAAGGAUUCAACAACCCUGACUACCCUCCUCAUGGCCCAAAAGAAAAUCAACCAAGCAACUUUGUUGCAGCAAUGUUGGGCAAAUCUACAAAAUAAUCUUUCAAGGUGUACCUCCCAUAAUGUGCAUCAUCCUAAAACCCAGUCUUAGUCUCAUUGAUCACAAAAAUGCUUGAAUUAAAUAUCAAAGCAACCUACUUCUUCUAAUAGUGUUCCGAAGGCCAACACUGCCAGACUUACCAAAUGGCUUAUCAAGACAAUUAACCACUUACCAAACAAGGUUUUAUUGGGCACCAAGUUACCAACAAGCUUCUAAUACACAAGCCACCAAUGACCUUAUCAAAAGAAAACAAUUUACCACCUAACCUAGUGAAUUUUGCACUCCAUUAAUCUCAAAAGAAAGCAAUUUAAACCUUUAGGCCUAAUGUAGACCACUAGAAUCAUAAAAUAAGAAAUAAAUAGAUUAGCAGGUAGGCAAUGAUACAUUUUAUGUGUAAUUCACCCCGACUAAUAGGCAUUAAAGAGACAAGUCCCCUCUUAAGGUAAUCCUCAACUAAAUUCCUCACACAAGCAGCCUCCAACACAAAUCCAAGUAGACAACAACUUUCCAACCUUACAACCAUCUACAUUCAAAACAUCUACCUCUGAAAUGAGCUCAUUUUUUUUCACAUUGACUUUUUAGACCAAGCACCAACUUAAAGAAAAUAGGAACUCACUGAUAAGAUGAAAAGUAUUCCUUUGAAAAUUGUGAAGAAUAUUUGUGGAUUUGAAUCUUCAUCUAUAGUUUAAUUGAUGAUCAAUUUGGGACUGUUGAGGAAUAACUAUGAAUUCAAAAAAAUAGAUUGGGAAUUUAUUUUAAGAUUUUUAAGUAAAUAUGAUUUAAAUGUCUAUUUCAAAAAAGAUUAUGAAUCAAAGAAAAACAGAAAAGGAACACUUGGAUUGGAUUUAUCAAAAAAAAAACCACUUGGAUUGGAUCCUCUUAGGUUGCCAAACUCCACAAAGAUUGGGUGACUAGAGCUCCUCUCUGUGCUCUGUAGAAUCCUUCAGAUUUAUUUUGCUAAACCCUAUUUGACAAUCCAGAGUCAUGUCAUUGUAAUCCUAAAUUGGCCAAUUAGCAGAGAGCAGUUCUUUUUCAAUUUUCAAAACGUAAUUUUGUCAUAUCCACUGGUGAAUCAAAAUUACCAGUAACAUGUUGAUUCGGAUUGGAUCCUCUUAGGCUGCCAAACUCCACAAAGAUUGAGCUCCUCUCUGUGAUCUGUAGAAUCCUUCAGAUUUAUUUUCCUAAACUGUAUUUGACAAUCCAGACUCAUGUCAUUUAAUCCUAAAUUGGCCAAUUUGAAGAUAGCAGUUCUUUUUCAAUUUUCAAAACGUAAUUUUGCCAUAUCCACUGGUGAAUCAAAAUUACCAGCAACAUGUCAAUUUGUUCUUAUCAAGAAAUGUAAGGAAUUCAACAAGAAUGAAAGAUGGAAACACUGAAAUACUUGAAAGGUGUCUCUGUUUUUUGUUCCUGCUUUCUUCUUCCCAUUUAAUUUUCAUUUGGUUAUCAAAUACGUUCUUUUGUCUUUUACAUAAUCAUGCAACAAUGAUCGUCUAAAACAUGAUGGAUUUCACAAAACCCCAAAAUAAAUCCUAAACAUGGUGCUUUUUUGUUAUUUUUAAUAACUGACAACCUGUAACAGGGGUGCCCCUUCACUACACUUUCCCCAAGCAAAAGAGAAACGAGGAAAAAUAUCCACAACUUAUUAUCAUACCUUCCACCACAUGUAACCAUAUCCCAAUGCCCCCAAGGUGGCAGCUGGGAUUGCAAGUGAUGUUAUGUUGCCUGAUAAGACAAUAAAAAAGGAUUAUGUUAAAUCAAUAACAACAGACUUGACCAGAAAAAUGCCAUGUGUGCAAGAGAAAAAACAUGACAUGAGUAUCCACAAGUAAAAAUUUGCAACAGUUAUCCAUUGACCAUCUUAAACAGAGGUGGAAAAUUGUAAGAAUUAUUUAAAUAUAUAGUACCAAUUUGGCCAGAAUUCCCAUUUAGAACAGUUAUCUGUCGAGCUGAGGCAAGUUGUUUGACCUCCAUUGCUAACCGACGGACCUAUAAGAUAGUCACACGGGACAUCCAGCAAAACAAAAUAAACAAAUGAAAAAAAAAAAAAAAAAGAUGCAUGAAGUUGCAGAAAAUAAAUAUCCCAACAGGAAGCACAUAUUCUACUACUGAAUCUAUUGAUCUACACUAAAACCCAAUACCCCAGAGGAAAUACCAAUUCAAAAAACACACUGCAUCCCAGGAAAAAAAAAUUAUAAUAGCAAGUUUGAUGAAUCAAUUUAUAUAAGUCAGCAUGAUCCUUAAACUAAGUGCUAAAAGAGUCUUCUCCUGAUGGAUCUGCAUGGAAACUGAAGUUCCACAACUGCCAGCAGCUAGGAAGAAAGAACCCAGCGAAGGGCUGCAGCACAGAAAAAGCCCUUGGCCUCUUUCACGGAAAUUUCUGAUGAUGAUGUAUGAUGAAAAUUUUGAGGUAGAAGAAGUAUCUGCCCUGGACACAAAAAAGAAGGGAGGCAGAAAACCCGCUGCAAAUGCCAAGGCAGCUGCUGGUAAGCCAGCUGCUACUGCAAAGAACAAGAGAGGAGCAGCCAACAAGCAGCAGCCUCAGCUACUGGGCCAGACACUGCUAACUGAAAUCUUCAAACCGGCAGAGACCUUGGGAAUCUCUCCAGAGAAGAAGGUGAGGAAGAUGAGGGCAUCACCAUUUAACAAGAAAAGUGGAUCUGUGCUGGGCAGCAGUACUGGGGAAGAAGACGAGACAGCUGAAACCAAAGAAAAUUCAGGCUCUGCUUCUACUUCAAACAGCAGCUCAGGAGGGGAACCAAAUGAAGUUGUGAUGCCAACAAGGACUAGACCACAGAGGGCGAACUGUGUGCAGACAAGGUACAUGCUGACUGCUAAGUGACUCUGAGAGACAAACCAACCGCUGAUUCAGAAUUUGAUGGAGAAGAUGACUAAAUCUAUGGUAGAGUGGUUGGUUGGUUUAAGUCUGGAGGGAAGGCUAACUGAAAACUGAAGUUUGAAUUGGGAAUUUGGCUUGUUUCCCACUUGAGUUGUAAUUGUAGUUGUUGAUGAUUAUCCUAACUGAAAGUUUAGAUAAAAAAAAGUGCUAAAAGGGAGUUUUAUUUGACUUGAACCAUUCUUUCUUUCUAGUACUACACUGCUUUCCCGUAAACAUACCUGGGCAGCAAUAGCAUCAGAAUAGUCAGCUUCACCAUUUGAUGAAUCCCCUUUUUUCUCCAAUCCUUUCACCAAUGACUGCCCAUAAAAAAUAGAAACCAAUUGUUACGGCACAUAGAGGGUGUAAAUCAUGUUACUAAUGCUUUGUUUGGUUCGCUGGGAAACUUGUGAAAACAGAAGAAAUUAAAACGUAUCAUUCGAUACCCAAGCCAACACAAUAUGUCAAGGUUCCCCUUUUCUCUUUUUCCCAAUUUUCUUAUAAGCCAAACAGACCGUUAAAUUCCCAAAAAAAUAAAUAAAUAAAUAAGUAAUAUUUAUACAAAAAAAAAAAAAAAAAACUAGUAAUAAGAAGAAGAAAAUUUGUUUUUCUUCAUUGAUGUGCAAUUAUCAAUAAAUAAAGAAUAAUGGCCAAAUUUAAACAACAAACAGUAACCCAAUAUAACAAAUCUAAAAUAAAAUUACCUGAAGUUCACCCAAUAUAUCCGACAAUUUGCCAUUCUUGAGCAAGAUCGUACUGGUGUAUCCUGUAGGAAGAAAGUAAAGCAAAGAUAAGAAGAUGAGAACUGGACUGAACGAAGAAUUGAGGUGAUGAUGGAAAUGGAUAAUCCCUUAAUUACCUGCUCCAACCAGGAUCAGGAUCUUUGAAACCCCUACACCAGUUUGCAUCGCCAUCGCUGAUCGGGUGAUCAGAAGCCCUAAUUUUUUUGGUUCUUGGCCUCUGGGCGUGGAAUGUGAUAUGAGAAUACGAAGACGACGUCGUUUUGAGAAAAAUCCCGUCCGCUGUUUUAUUAAGGUCUUUGGUCAAGCCUUGCGGUAUCGAGCCUGCCUUCCGGCGGGGACUUUCCGGAAAAGUACGGUCGCUUUUAGAAAAAAAUUACUUGAAAUAUUAUAAAAACGCUAAAUUAAAUUACUAAACAGCGUCUCACGAAUAAACUCAUACAUUUUAGCAUUAUAAUAAAUGAAAAUUUUAAGUCAUAUUUGAUAAUAAUUUUUUAAAACCAUUCUCUAUUUUUUUUAUUAAAAAAAAAAAGGAAAAUAUGUUUGUCCAUCAGAAAAUAAAAAAAGUUCUUAAAAAUAGAAAAUAUGGUGUUUUUUUAUAAUAUUUUUUUUACUUAUUUUCACUUUUUUUAGUAUUAUUUUAAAAAAUAAUAAUAUAAAUGCGGAAUAUGUUUAAAUAAAAAACACUACACAUAAAAAUUAUUUUUAAAACAUAUUUAAAAAUAUAGAAAGCGCAUUGAGAAUAUUUCAAGUUGUCAAACAAACUUUUAUUUUACAAAAUAUUAAAGAACAAUUUUUAAUUACUAUUUCAAAAAAUAUCUCCCCAACAGAGCCUUAUAAUUGUCAUGUGAGUAUUAAAAGAUAAUGGCUUAAUAAUCUAAGAAAUUAUUUAUUGCUUUUAGCCAAUAAUUCUUACAAUUUUUUUUUAAAUAUCAUUACUUUUAGCAAUGGUAUUAUUUAUUUUUUAUUAUUUGUUAAUUCAAGGUUUCUUAAAAAUGAUUUUGAUGAUAAAAAAUAAACAACGUUAAUUAACCCUACUCCAAGAAGAAAGCAUGACUUGAAUAAGAGGUGUAAGUAAAACCGAGAAAAAACCGACAAACCAAUCAAAAUCGAUUAUAUUGGUUUAAUUUUCACUAAUAAAAAAGGUUGGUUCCAUUUGAAAAUUUUGAAAAUUGACUUUAUGUAUUUGGCUUCCAAUUUUCUUGUCUUUUAAUCGAUAAAAAUCAAACCAAAUCAAUAUUUUAAAACUUAUAUAUAAUUGUUUAAUGUUUGAUAAGUUUUUUUAUAUUAGAUUCUGUAGGGACCCCUCCCCCUGAUGACAUGUGGCACAUACUUCCUGGUGACACGUGGCACGCAUUCUCAUCCGGAUUACCCCCAUCCGGAUUUCCCCAAGAGUACACGUGGCGUGCUUCUCCUAUCCGGACUCCCUUAAGGAGAGGCACAAAACACUCACAAACAUAACAUCCGAACGACCGCCACAUCACAUCCGGACGAUCGACAUAUCCUAUCCGGAUAUGUUUUGUUCGGAUCGUUGACCGAAGUAAGCAAGUCUUGCACGUCAUCCCAACAACCUGCCACGGCCCACGUUCCGCCACCUGCAAAGUGAAAGGACAGGAAUGAAGUGACGGCAAGUCACUUCCCACGAUCUCUAACAGUCGCGACUCCUCCCACGAUCUCUGUCAGCCGCCCGUAGGGUGAUGAUGACCCUGCCACCACCUAGUGGCAUCAUGACAAGCCAAAAUAUCUCCCUACCAUUAAAGAGGAAAACAAAGCUUCUGGUACUAUAUAUAUGAACCUUCACACAAAGAGAAAGGUGAGCUUGAUAUACCCAGUAAAAAGCCAACUGAUUUAUCUCUCCUUCCAUGGCUAACAAAACCAUCGGAGGGUGUGUUUGGACACCCUGUCCGGAUGCCUUUUGCAAGAAUGACUGAACUAGGAAUCUAUAUUGGUUGAGAUCGUGCGUCCAUCCAUUUGGUAACUACGUGGAUCACCAGGAGCAUGAGGCCUUAACAUUGACGUCGUUUGUGGGAAAGUCGCUGAUUCAGUCACCAGCAAAGAUGGUCACAUCUUCCCGAAGCAGUUCAUCUGGGAGGGGAGAGGAAGAUAAUUUUGAAUGGCGCCGAGCCAUCGAAAGAAGACAGUUGGCAAGCGAACGACAACUGCAAGCUCUCUUCCAAGAGACAGAAAAGUUAAGAGAAGAAAACGCGGUGCUACGCAUCCAGGCUUCAUCGACGGGGCCUCUCCAUCGUCAGCGUUCAAGAGGCCAGAUAGCAAACUCAAGGCCAGAACCAGAGUCAAUAUACCCUGGGACAACAGAAGCCGUCCCAAAAACAAGCAACGUUAGGCCACAUGAGCCACACACUCCCAUGCACCGAGCUUCUCGUGAGGAAGGCUCAGACUCUACUCAUUUUUUAGCAAAAAGACAACGCGAUAAAAGGCUCUAGUUGUCAAACUCAAUGCGCGCGAGACUAGACCCACAAGAACCUAGGAGGCCAAGGCCGCCAGUAGCCACAACCUGGGGAGCGCACCUUAACCCUAGGGUGCAGAACGUUCAACCGCACCUAGCGGUACGACAAGCUGGGAAAAGCUUCCCAAAUGAGCCACCCAUUGGCUCCAUCAGCAAAAGGCUGGACGACAUGCUCUCCACGCCUUUCUGCUCUCAUAUUAUUCAUUACGAGCCCCCAAGGGGAUUCCUCGUACCCAAAUUCUCCACAUACGAUGGGUCCAGCGACCCCUUCGAUCAUAUCAUGCAUUAUCGACAGCUCAUGACUCUCGAUAUAGGCAACGACGCGCUACUAUGCAAAGUAUUUCCCGCCAGCCUACAAGGGCAGGCCCUCUCAUGGUUUCAUUGUCUACCUCUCAACUCUAUUGACAAUUUCAGGGACCUAUCGGAGGCUUUCGUGGGACAAUACUUAUGCUCCGCUCGACAUAAGCAGAACAUCAGUACUCUACAAAACAUAAAAAUGCAAGAUAACGAAUCCUUAAGGGAGUUCGUGAAACGGUUUGGUCAAGUCGUAUUUCAGGUAGAGGCUUACAGUAUGGAUGCUAUCCUGCAGAUCUUCAAGCGGAGCAUCUGUCCAGACACCCCAUUUUUCGAAUCACUCACUAAAAAGCCUCCAACAACGAUGGACGACUUGUUCAGAUGUGCAAACAAAUACUCAAUGCUCGAAGAUGACGUACGAGCAGCCACCCAACAAGUCUUGGUUGCUGGACAGGCAUCUAGAAGUGGCGCGGAAAGAAGUGCCAAAAUUCCUAACCGGCCAAGGCCGUCCGAUCAAAGGCAGAAAAGGCCAAGUCGCCCGGAAAUGCCGCCCUUCACACCUCUCUCCAUAUCAUAUGAGAAACUUCUCCCUAUGAUCCAAGGCAUGUCUGACUUCAGGUGGCUUAGGCCCCUCGGAACGGACCCAUCCAAAAGAGAUCAUAGUAAGAGAUGUGUCUUCCACAAGGAACAUGGUCACACGACAGAAACAUGCAGGUGCCUCCAUUAUUUGGUCGAAAGGCUCAUCAAGGCGGGACAUUUAAAGCAAUACCUCCGCUCAGAUGCCGGAGGUAGAGAUGCUUCCCAAAACCACAACACUGGAGCCCCCAGGGCCCCGGCUGCCCCCAAAGCUGUUAUAAACUAUAUUAACGGAGACCCAUCUGACGAGGAAUAUGACUCCAAAAGAAAGAGACAAAAGUUGUUGCGGGUCGCAUCGGUACGUGAGCGUAUCAACUCCAUCCGCCCUGGGAUAAUUGGGGGGGGGGGCCCUCACCCCAUAGAUGAGACAAUCAUUUUCCCACCAGUAGACCCCACCCGGAUAUUGCAGUCGCACCGCAACGCACUCAUCAUAUCCCUAGAAAUAGGGGACUUCGACGUGAGACGCAUCAUGGUUGACCCGGGCAGCUCGACCGAUCUUGUGCAAGCAUCGGUCGUUAGCCACAUGGGGCACAGCCUCAUAAGCCUCGAAAACCCUUGGUGAAUCCUAUCCGGAUUCAACGGGUCGUCAACUACUUCCUUGGGAGACAUCGUACUACCGGUCCAAGCUAGCCCAGUCACUCUCAACAUACAAUUUUCGGUGGUACAAGAUUUAUCACCCUUCAAUGUCAUCUUGGGGCGCACAUGGCUACACUACAUGAAAAUCAUCUCCUCUACAUACCAUCAAAUGGUAAGUUUCCUUACCAAGGAUGGGCAAAUUGACCUAUAUGGUAGCCAGUUAGCCGCUCGCCAAUGCUACCAGAUAGCAAGAGAAGCAGAGACCAACCAGGAGGAUGCAUCCCUCCCUGAGUCCGGCCAUGCAUGUGACCAAUAGCAAUUAUUGGGUCCGGCGGACAAAGAUCCCUUGGCAGCGGAUCCCUUGCAAACAAUCCAAAUUUCAGAAGAAGGUACUCACCUUACGAAUAUCAGUUCCCUCCUGACACCAGAAGAGACCCAGAACAUGCAGAACGCCCUCAGACAAAACCAUGACGUUUUCGCAUGGGCACAUUCUGAUAUGAAGAGAAUUCAUCUCUCCAUUACCUCUCAUAAGCUUAACGUCUUGCCAACAGCCAGACCCAUUAGGCAGAGGGUUAGACGUUUCCACCCGGACAGACAAGCAAUUAUCCGGAACGAGAUUGACAAAUUACUAGAAGCCGGAUUCAUCAGAGAAGUAGAUUACUCAGACUGGUUGGCAAAUGUUGUGGUGGUACCUAAAAAAGAAGGCAAAUGGCGGGUGUGCGUCGACUACACUAACCUCAAUAACGCAUGCCCAAAAGACAGUUUCCCUUUGCCACGGAUAAAUCAAAUUGUGGACUCCACUGCUGGGCAAGGGAUGCUCUUUUUCUUGGACGCCUUCUCCGGAUAUCACCAAAUCCUCAUGUCCCCGGUUGACGAAGAAAAAACAGCCUUCAUAACACCACAUGGUCUCUAUUGCUACAAAAUCAUGCCAUUCAGACUCAAAAACGCUGGCGCCACUUAUUAGAGACUGAUGACAAAGAUCUUCAAACCUCUAGUCGGCCGCACAGUAGAGGUAUACAUUGACGAUAUCGUGGUUAAAAGCAAAACUCGGGAGGAGCAUGUCCUCCACUUGCAAGAAUUUUGCACCUCUUAAGGAAGUAUGACAUGAAGCUGAAUCCUUCUAAAUGCGCCUUUGGCGUAAGUGCUGGCAAAUUCCUGGGAUUCAUGGUUAGCCAAAGAGGGAUAGAGGUUAGCCCGAAUCAAGUCAAGGCAGUCAUGGAAACACCACCUCCCAGGAACAAGAAGGAAUUACAACGCCUCACAGACAAGCUCAUCGCGCUAAGGCGUUUUAUAGCCCGCUUCACUGAUGAACUGCGACCCUUCUUCUUGGUAAUACGAAAAGCUGGAACAAGCGGAUGGACGGACAGCUGUCAAAGCGCUUUUGAUAAAAUUAAACAUUGCCUUAUGCAACCACCUAUCCUAAGCAGCCCCAUCCCUAAAGAAAAAUUGUACAUGUAUCUGGCUGUGUUAGAGUGGGCGAUCAGCGCUGUUCUAUUCCGCUGCCCCUCACCCAAGGAGCAGAAACCUAUCUACUACGUCAGUAGAGCAUUGGCGGACGUAGAAACCAGAUAUUCAAAGAUGGAACUAAUGACCUUAGCUCUUCGAAGUGCCGCCCAGAAGCUCUGCCCCUAUUUCCAAGCCCACUCGGUGGUCGUUCUAACUAACCAACCCCUUCGCAACAUUUUGCAUAACAACCGGAAGAAUGCUGCAAUGGGCCAUAGAAUUGAGCGAAUUUGGAAUCGAGUUCCAACCCAGAUUGUCCAUGAAAGGCUAAAUGAUGGCUGACUUCGUGCUGGAAUACUCUCGAAGACCCAUCCAACACAAGGAACCAAGCGAAGAAGAAUGGUGGACUUUAUAAGUCGAUGGAGCCUCCCGAUCGUCAGGAUCCGGGGUAGGGCUCCUACUGCAAUCCCCAACAGGAGAACAUCUAGAGCAAUCCAUCCGGCUGGGGUUCCCUGCCUCUAACAAUGAAGCGGAAUAUGAGGCCAUUCUAUCUGGAUUGGACCUCGCCCUGGCUCUAUCCGUCUCCAAGCUUCGGGUUUAUAGUGAUUCCCAACUUGUGGUAAGACACGUCCAAAAGGAAUACGAAGCUAAGGAUGCGCGCAUGGCGCGAUAUCUAACUAAAGUAAGGGACACCUUACAACGAUUCACCGAGUGGACGAUCAAAAAAAUCAGACGAACUGAAAAUGGGAGCGUCGACGCCUUGGCAGGCAUAACUGCCUCCCUCCCCAUCAAAGAAGCCAUAUUGUUGCCUAUACAUGUGCAAACCAACCCUUCCGUCGCAGAAGCUUCCACUUGCAACACCAUUGAGGCAAAACAAGCAGACGACCAAGAGUGGACGAACGACAUUAUAGGGUACCUUCGGACAGGCACUCUGCCCGAGGAUCCCAAACAGGCACACAAGAUCCGGGUGCAAGCCGCCUGUUUCACCUUGAUUGGGGGGCACUUGUACAAACGGUCAUUCACAGGUCCCUACCUUCGAUGUCUAAAUCAUUCAGAGGCCCUGUACGUAUUAGCUGAGUUGAACGAGGGAGUAUGUGGAAAUUAUUUUGGAGGACGAUCUCUGGCGCAUAAGGCCCAUUCGCAAGGAUAUUAUUGGUCCACGAUGAAAAAAAUGCGGCAGCCUAUGUCAAAAAAUGUGACAAAUGUCAAAGGUAUGCCCACAUUCCGCAUAUGCCAUCGGAGACAUUGAAACCAAUUUCAGGCCCCUGACCCUUCGCGCAGUGGGGCAUGGACAUAGUGGGAACCCUCUCAACCGCACCCACCCAGAAGAAAUUCCUACUCGUCGCCAUGGAUUACUUCAGUAAAUGGGUAGAAGCUGAAGCGUAUGCUAGCAUCAAAGAUAAAGAUGUCACCAAAUUCGUAUGGAAAAACAUCAUCUACCGCUUCGGAAUCCCCCAAAUCAUUAUAGCCGACAACGGUCCGCAGUUUGAUAGUAUCGCAUUUCGGAAUUUCUGUUCGGAACUAAACAUCCGAAAUUCAUACUCCACACCGCGUUAUCCUCAAAGUAAUGGGCAAGCAGAGACCACAAACAAGACGUUAAUCACUGCCUUAAAGAAAAUGAUCGAGCAAGCAAAAUGAAAGUAGGUGGAGGAGCUACCCGGCGUCCUAUGGGCUUAUCGAACCACACCCGGACGCCCGAUAGGAAACACUCCCUUUGCCCUCGCAUAUGGUAUGGACGCAAUCAUUCCUAUUGAAAUAGGGCUACCCACUAUCUGGACCGAGGCAGGACCGCAGGAUGAUACAAAUGAGGAGUUAGGAAGAAAUUUGGACUGGGCAGACAAAGUAAGAGAAACUGCAUCCAUCCGGAUGGCAGACUAUCAACAAAGGGCAUCCGCUCACUACAAUCGCAAAGCAAGGCGCAGAAGCUUCAAAAAUGGUACGCUGGUCCUUAGAAAAGUUUUCGAAAAUACUGUUGAAAUAGAAGCGGAAAAAUUUCAAGCCAACUGGGAAGGACCCUAUAUAGUAUCUAAGUCAACUGAAAGUGGAGCUUAUCAUCUACAAAAGCUAGACGGAACUCCAUUACUCAGACCAUGGAAUGUGUCUAAUUUAAAACAAUAUUACCAGUAAAAGAAAAAGACAAGUACAAAUAUGAAAAAGUAUGUUUUAUUGAUAUUUGUGAAGUUAUAUACAAAGAGUUCUCCGGACUACAAGAUACAGAGAGAAGAUAGUAGUAAAAAAUUACAAAAAGAAAAGCUCUCAUUGAGCAGGCUUGCCGCGCAGCUUCUCCUCCUCACCCGAGGGAAUUGAAGGGACGUCCCGUUUGAUACCAUGUUUCUUCAUACAGCAACGAAAGCCGAAGAAGUACAUUUCAUCUACCUGCUUCUGGUAGUCCGCUUCAAGUUCCUCCCUUUCUGCAGCAAACUUAGCCUCCAGCUCUUCUUUUUGCGCCGAUAAACGCAACUACAAAUCUUUUCUCUGCUUUUUCUCAAUGGACACCUCUGUCCGGAGUUGCCUCACCUCCCCCCUCAGUUGGGCCAUCUCGUCCUCCGCCUCAUGCAGGUGGGCGUCCACCAAUUCCUCCCGGCUCUUUACCUCAACAAGCUCUACCCGGAGAGCCUCGUUAUCUUCUCGAGCAGCGGAUAAACUGGCUUCGGCCUGCUCUAGUCUCAAGCGCAGCUCCUCUUCACUGUUUCUGCGCUAAGAGGCGAAGACCUUCAUAUAAUCGACGGUCCGCAGCAGGUCAGAAAACAGAUCAUGUUGUUGGGCCAUGCCGCGAAGACCGCUCACCAGCUGUAGAAAAACACACAAACAAGAAGAGCAAAGUUACAAACUAUGCCACAAACACAUCAGUAUGGAAAAAAAAAAAAUCAAGAAAGCAAACUAUACCAUUUCCACCGCGUCGAACAUUUUUACUGAAGGCAUAGCAACAUCUGAGCCGGGUGGAAUCCGUUUCAGCUUCUCUUCCAACUCCGCGUAGCUGAAAGAGCUAGCAGAGAUGCAAGCUGCAUCAUCAACGGGAUUCCCCCCUAAUGAGGCAUUAGAGAGUGACUCCUCCUCCGGGUCUGGGGCCCCAUCAUUCUUAGCCGGCUGGGUCUCCUCGGGUGAACCCCCAUCCGGGACUAGAGCUGGGGCAGCUGGGUUCUCUUCUGCCAUCUCCACCUCACUGCCCUCCGGAUGAUCAUCCUGGACGGACGAGCAGCUGACUUCGAUGGUUUCCAAGAAACGAUCCUGAAGCCGUCCGACGAGGCCAGACUUUAAGUCAUGAGCCGGACGAGACCUCCUUGUAGCAAGCCCCUUCAUCGGUACAAAGGCAAGGGGGCUUGGCUCGCAAGGAGGCAAACCUUGACUUUCUGCUCCCAUGUCUUCCGUUGGGGGUGCCAUAGGAGGUGAUGCUGCAGCACAAGAGGCCCCAGCUGCGUCCUCAUCCGGAUGGGGAGAGCCGGGUUGAUUUAUUGAAGUAGUUUCCUCAGCUAGAAGAGCCAGACGUCCAUCCACUGACAAUGAAGGCCCCGAAUGGUUCAACCCUGCGAGGCGUCCGGAGCCGCUUGAGACAGAGGGCAAGGGGGGGACCUCUGACUCUCUUAUUGUUAUUUCCUUUACAUAAGUUGAAGGAGGAAUUACAAACUCCUUCGGGGGAGUUGAGAGUUUUACUUCUUUCCCCUUAUUUGAAACCUUCUUCUUCUUCUUUUUUGCUGGAGCGCCAGCAGGUGGAGAGGAUGCGGGCAGUUUGCCACCCGGAGCCUUCCGCAAAAGUCAUUCUUGCCUUUUCACCUCCCGGUUAUUGAGGCGGGCUUUGCGUGACCGGGCGUCUGCCUUCCGCACCGCCGCGUAGAAUGGAAGGUCUUGAAGAACGAAAUGCUCCCAAGCUACCACCUCUUUGGGCAGUCGCCUAGGGAGUAUGUUCAGCACGUACGAUUGGGGCUCCUGAGUGACCGAACAGAGGUUCUGCGUGGAGAAAAGCGUUUCACAACUCCGCUCGGUCGCCGCAAUCUUGAAAAGCCUGUUCAAACGGUCGAACGAGGCCUUCUCCACCCACUCCACCAGCUUUCCCCUUUUAUCCUGGCCUGCACCCAAGAAAGCAAAGUAUGUCAAUCGCCUAGCAAAUGCUGACCUAAACUCAUAAACCAUGAAAAGACAGGAAGUAAUUCAGUCAUACCUGGGACUUUCAACGAUUGGUUGGGAACAAACGGCCUGUCCGGAUGCACCGCCAAACCCGCCCAUAAACCCUUGACCAGCACAUGACCCUUGGCGGCCCCCUUGGUCGAAUCCGGCAGGUUGGUCACCAACUGCAGGGAUGGAAGGCAAGCGACAAAACUAAAAAUGUCGGUUUUCGCCUUCUUGAUCGAAUAAACGAAGAGAACCUCCAGCAGUGAGAAGUCCAAAUUGAAUAGCAUACCUAGAAUGCUGCACCCCAUCAGCACCCGGACCAUAUUGGGAUGGAUGUAGGCGGAGGAAUCUAGGUGAAGUGAAGAAACUCCUUGAACAACGACGGUAGAGGAAACCGGAGCCUAGCGUUGAACUGCUUCUUGGUAAAGAAGAUAGCGUUGUCUUCAUUCUUCUCAGUUGACAUAGCCUUUCCAUCCAUGAGUUCAACAGACACACUGUUAGGGAUACAGAACCGUUCGCGGAACUCCUUCACACUCAACUUAUCCACAGAUUUAUCGGCAUGAGCAUCUCCGGACGAGCUAGAUGAGGCAACUUCCUUGUUUGCAGACAUUUUUAGGUUGGGACUGGAGUGGAAUUUGCAGGAAAGAAGUACCAAUAGUCAAAACACAGCAAACCGACCCCACAAGCUUAAACUCUACCACAAAAAGUACAGGGGGGGCAAUAGAAAUCCUAAAACACACCCACAAAAACAGUCCAAAACCCCCCGAAAAAGCCCUAGAAACACCUAGUCGCAAGCAACUUGCCCAAGCAAGCCAGAAACAACCAACAAGACAAACACAACAAGAGAAAGACAAGAAAAGCGAACAUACCGAGUGUAAACUGGAAAAAUAGGGUUGAAAACCGCAAUGCAGUCACCGUCACGACGCGAAUAUUGCCGGCAGAAAACCCUAGAGCUUCACUCAAAAACGAAGAUACGUAGAAGGUAGAAGAAAAAGCACUAACAAGAGAAAAGCACAGAUGGAAAAAUGCAAAGUGAGGGCUCAGUCUACUAUUUAUAGGGAGACAACCCCUCGGUAUCCCAAACGCUCAGCUACGCCAUCAUUGAAACGACACGCCGCCUGGGAAUACCCAGAGACGGCGGCUCAUCAUAAAUGUUCUUCUCUCUCUUCGCCCCCGCUCGCCACGUGGCCCAUUGAGCGCAAAAAAGUAACCUCAGUUUAAAAAAACAAUUAUUUUUUAACCUGCCCAUUUUACUCUGGCAAAAUCGGCAAGUUAAAAAGGGGGGCAUUGUAGGGACCCCUCCCUCUGAUGACACGUGGCACAUACUUCGUGGUGACACGUGGCACGCAUUCUCAUCUGGAUUACCCCCAUCCGGAUUUCCCCAAGAGUACACGUGGCGCACUUCUCCUAUCCGGACUCCCUCAAGGAGAGGCACACGACACUCACAAACAUAACAUCCGGACGACCGCCACAUCACAUCCGGACGACCGACAUAUCCUAUCCGGAUAUGUUUUGUCCGGAUCGUUGAUUGAAGUAAGCAAGUCUUGCACGUCAUCCCAACAACCUGCCACGACCCACGUUCCGCCACCUGCAGAGUGAAAGGACAAGAAUGAAGUGACGGCAAGUCACUUCCCACGAUCUCUGACAGCCGCGGCGCCUCCCACAAUCUCUGUCAGCAGCCCGUAGGGUGAUGAUGGCCCUGCCACCACCUAGUGGCAUCAUGACAAGCCAAAAUAUCUCCCUACCAUUAAAGAGGGAAACAAAGAGGAAGGUGAGCUUGAUAUACCUAGUAAAAAGCCAACUGAUUUAUCUCUCCUUCCAUGGUUGACAAAACCAUCGGAGGGUGUGUCUGGACACCUUGUCCGGACGCCUUUUGCAGGAACGACUGAACCAGGAAUCUAUAUUGGUUGAGAUCGUGCGUUCAUCCAUUUGGUAACUACGUGGAUCACCAGGAGCGCGAGGCCUCAACAGAUUCUAUUAAAAUAAUUCAUUGUUUUUAUAUUAUGAUCAAAUUAAUUCUAAAUACAUUCAAUAUAUUUUUAACAUCAAAUCUAAGUUAGUUUUAAUUAAUUUUAAAAACAAAUUAGACUUAAGGCUAAAAGGAAAGGAAGUUGACUUGACACUUCCCAUAUACAGUUUUAGUAGUCAUUGAUUUUGUAAUCAUAGUUCAUAUUCUCUCCCAUUUUUUUCCCUCAUUUUUGGUUGUAAUUAUAGAAAACAUAGCUCAUAUACACACCAUGUACUCUGUAUAAAUAACACUCAAUAAUUUGUGAAUAUACAGAUCUUCCUUUCUACUCAUCCAUGUAACAUGGUAUCAAAGCUCUAAUUGCAAUUAGAGUUCCUUUUCUCCUCAUUUUUUUUUCUCCGCCUUCACCCAUAUCCAUUAUGGUUGAUGUAAUUUCCUCCUCUUCUGAAAAUCCGAUUGUCCUCACCAUAGGAAAUAUCCCAUCUCAGUCACACACCCUUAUUUUAAUCUGGUUGUUCUCUCUCCUUAAGCAAGAUGAAACAAAAAAGGAAACCCCACCUAUCACUGCUCAUUUUCACCAAAGAUAUUCCCUUAACAGUAAAUGGAGCAAUAGAAGCAAUGGAAAUUCUACAGGACUUCCUGGAGGUCAUUCUAAUAAUAAAGGGUCAACCUCUCAUUUUAGCAACAAAAAUUUAUUCGAUAAUCAAGGAAAACACAAUGUCCAAGGCAAUCAAGGUAGUCUCAAGUCACCACAACAUCAUUGGCAUCCUAACCAUGGUAAUAAUCAACGUCGCAUUGUGUGUCAACUAUGUGACAAGGUUGGCCAUAAUGCCAAAGUAUGUUGCUCACAUCCACAGACACAAUUCUCACCUCAAGUUAAUUACAUGGCUAGUGAACUAGUUAGAGGACAUAACACUUGGAUUUUUUUACUCUAAUGCAUCCCAUCACAUAACUUCUGAUCUUCAAAUUCUCUCCCUACGCCUAGAAUAUGGUGGUGAUGAGGAUGUCAUGAUUGGACAUGGUAAAGGAAUUUCUAUAACUCAGGUUGGUUUCACCACACUCAAUUCACCCACAACCACUUUCUCACUUAACAAUGUUUUGAGUGCACCCUUAAUUAAAAAAAAAUAAAAAUCUUUUGUCUGUCUCUCAAUUUUGUAAUCAAAAUAACACAUCUAUUGAAUUUUUUUCUUGACUUUUUCAUUGUAAAGGAUUUGAGCACAGGGGCAUCCCUGGCUCAAGGCCAAAAUAAAAGGCAUGUCUACAAGUGGCCAGCGUCUACCUCACCCUCCCCAACCAAGCCACUAGUUUUUCUCUCCACUACAUCUACCAUGGACUGCUAGCAUUGUCAUCUUGGUCACCCAUCAUCUCAAGUUCUCAACAAAUUAGUUUCUACUAAAGCUUUGCCUGUUAAUAAAUCGAUAAAUUUAUCAUCUCAUUAUGACUCUUGCCUUGUAAUAAAAGUCACAAGCUCCCAUUUGGAACCUCAUCUCUUUCUUGUACUCGACCACUAGAAAUUAUUUAUACAGAUGUUUGGGGUCCUGCACCAAUCAUUUCCUUUGAUCAUUUAUCGUUACUACGUGAUUUUUGUGGACUAUUUUACAAAAUAUACAUGGUUUUAUUCACUUAAACAAAAAUUUGAUAUAACAUCCAUCUUUGAGCGAUUCAAAAAUGUUGUUGAAAACUUAUUUGACACAUCUAUCCAAACUGUCUAUUUAAAUGGAGGUGGAAAGUAUCAAAGCCUAAGUCAUACACUCUCCCACUUUGGUAUUCAACAUCUUAAGUCACCAUCUCACACACUUUAAGUGGUCGGUACAACUAAACGCAAACACUGUCAUGUGGUUGAAACAAGACUUACACUUUUUCAUCAUGCAUCAGUGCCAAUUCGUUUUUUGUCUACUACAUUCCAAAUAGCCACCUAUCUUAUCAAUAAGAUGCCCACACCAGUUUUGAGCUACCAAUCUCCUUUUGAAAAAAUUUCAACAAACCUCCAAAUUUUCAAAAAUUAUGAGUCUUUGGAUGUUUGUGAUACCCUUGGUUCUGUUCCUAUGCACCUCAUAAACUUGAUCCUCAUUCUUGUCCUUAUGUGUUUAUUAGUUACUCCACUAAACAUAAUGCAUACUGUUGCUUUGAUACCUAGUCUAAAAAACACUUUGUUUCCCGUCAUGUAGUUUUUGUGGAGUUUGAGUUUCCUUUUCAAACUAUUUCUCUACAUGAUAACAGGAUUGUAGACCCAAGCCUCUUUAAUUGGCCUCUCAUUGAUCAAUCAACCCAUUUCCAUGUUCCCCACACCCAUACUUUCUCCAACAAUUCACCUACUAACGUUGUUCAUUCGAGCUCAAUUCUUCAAUCCCAUUCCAAGGUUGACAUCUUGCCAGACCCCUCACUAGUAAGCUCGUCAUCACUUCCUCCCAUGUCUUAUCCACUUGACCAUUCCAACUCCCUAUCACCACCCCGGACCACACCAUGAUUACUAAAGCCAAAAAUAAUAUCUUUAAACCCAAAGAAGAAUUUGUAUAGAUUUUCCUAGAACCCCAGUCUAUCCUACCCGAAAGAUAUAAUCUAGAAUCCACUCUCCACCCUUAUUAGUAGUAGGUGAAUAGUGACCCUAUUUGUAUGUGCAUUCACAUGACAAGCAUGUUCCAAGAUCUCCUGCAACAAGAACCUAACACAUGGUUUAUUGAUAGUAAGCUGAUUAAAUAAAUGAAUCAUAGGUUGGUUGAAUAUUGAGUUCGGCUUAGGCUACGUGUUUUGUUCUCAAUUUAACUACCACUACCCCAUCUUCCCAUGAGUCCAUUAAACCCACCACCGUCUCUCAAAGGCAAAAAAUUCUUCAUUGGCACCAAACUAUGAGUGAGGAAUUCGAUACCUUAAUCCAUAACUCCACCUGAACUCUUGUUUUCCUUAACCCCACACAAAACAUUGUUGGGUGCAAGUGGAUUUUCCACAUUAAGCGAAACCCUAAUGGCUUAGUCAUGAGAUAUAAAGGUCAACUUGUCUCCAAAGGAUUUCAUCAAUGACCUAGAAUUGAUUUCUCUAAUACUUUCAGUUAUGUGAUCAAACCAACAACAAUUCAGAUUCUCCUUCAUUUAGCUAUGACCAAUAAUUAGGAUCUAUGUCAAUUGGAUGUUAACAAUGCAUUAUUACAGGAGUCUUUAACUAACGAUGUUUUUAUGUAGCAACCAUAAGGCUUUAUUAACCCUUAAUUCCUAGACCAUGUUUGCAAAUUGAAUAAGGUCAUAUAUGGUCUUCAUCAAGCCCCACGAGCAUGGUACAUGGAGCUUCGCCAGUUCUUACUAUCCAUUGGUUUCAUUAUUUCCAAGUAGGAUAACUUACUUUUUCUCCAUCGUCAGAAGGAAUUCGCCACAUUUCUACUCAUAUAUGUGGACGACAUCUUCAUCAUAGGAACUUUUUCUAAGCAAGUUUAAAGAGUUAUUACUAGUCUUGCUCAUUGUUUUUCACUCAAAGACAUUGGUGUCUUAACGUACUUUCUUGGGGUUGAAGUUAUUCCAACAUCAUCUAGUCUUUUCCUAUCUCAGUAUAAGUACAUACAUGACCUCCUUGCAAAAACCAUUAUGCUUGGUGUCAUUGUAAUCUCAACUCCACUCUCUGCUAUUGUGUUUGUCUUGUUACAUAAUGGUGUCCCGCCUAUCGAUCCUGCCAAAUUUCAUCAAGUCAUUGGAUCUGUACAGUAUCUCUCUUUUACUCGACCUAACAUUUUCUUUGUAGUAAACGAUUUCUCUUAGUUCAUGCACCGCCUAGCCACUAAUCUUUGGUCUGUAGUUAAAAAGGUUCUUCGGUAUCUCAAAAGAGCAAUUCAUUUCUGGCUUCCUUCUUCAUAAGCACUCACCACACACUCUUCAUGCCUUGUGGGAUGCUAACUGGGCAAAAAAAUUUGAUGAUCGCACUUCCAUGUCAGCUUAUGUUGUCUUUCUUGGCUCUAAUCCAAUUAGUUGGAGCUCUAAGAAACAAAAUAUUGUGGCUUGGUCCUCUACUGAAGCUGAAUAUUGAGUUGUUGCCUCCACUACAGUUGAAGUUAAUUGGGUGCAAAACCUUCUCCAUGAACUCAAUGCUCAUAUUGGCUCCGAUCCUCUAACGAUUUACUGCAACAAUGUAAGGGCCACCUAUGUUUAUGCUAAUCUAGCAUUUCAUUCAUGAAUGAAACACAUUGCCAUUGACUUCCACUUUAUUCGAGACUAAGUGUCCAAGAAAUUGCUCCGAGUAUCUCAUGUCCACACCAUUGAUCAACUUGUUGACUCCCUUACAAAGCCAUUAUCACACCUCCAACUUUUGGACCAUCAAUCUUGAGGGAGCAUGAACGGAAAUGAAGUUGACUUAACACUUCCCAUAUAAACAAUUUUGGUAGUCAUUGAUUUUGUAAUCAUAGUCCAUAUUCUCUCUCAUAUUAUUUCCCUCAUAUUUUGUUGUAAUUAUAGAAAACACAACACAUAUACACACCAUGUACUCUUUAUAAAUAACACUCAAUAAUACGUGAAUAUACAAAUUUUCCCCUAUGCUCAUCCAAUUAACAAAAGUCUAAUAUAAACACAAAUUAAUGGGUUUUGGGUUCAAAGCAAAUACAAAUUUCCUGUUGGGUUGAGGACUAAAAAAGACCAUUAAGUUAGAUCAAAAUCGAUCCAUAAAAACCAAACAAAACCAACUUUAAAAUGAUUGGUUUGGUUGGUUUUGUUUUUUCACUUCAAAUUUGGUUAGUUUGGUUUCUUUUACAUAUAAAAUUGGUUAUAUCGGUUCACUUUUUACUUAAAAACCAACUGAGCCAAUCUUAUUUACAUCCCUAACUUGAAUCCUUGUUUCAAGAAUUUUUAAGAAAAUUAUAAUUAAGAAUUUAUACAAGAGUUAAUUAUUGAAUACCAGGACUCAAUGCAAUAAUGACCUUGAAGGGUCAUUUAUUAAAUUUUCAUGAAUCAACCAACUUAUAAGAUGAGAAUUUUAUCUUUUGAUUUAAACUUUUUUUUUUCCCAUUACUCAUUUUGCUUCCAUAUAAUUGAAAAAAAAAAAAAAAGUAAGUCAUGAGGUUAUAACAUUACNNNNNNNNNNNNNNNNNNNNNNNNNNNNNNNNNNNNNNNNNNNNNNNNNNNNNNNNNNNNNNNNNNNNNNNNNNNNNNNNNNNNNNNNNNNNNNNNNNNNAAAAAAAAAAAAAGUAAGUCAUGAGGUUAUAACAUUACCUUUUAAUUUACCUUUUUUUUUUUUUUUAAUUACUCCUUUGCUUACUUAUGGUUGAAAAAAAAUAAAAAGGGAAAAAAUAAAUAAAUAAAUAAAUCAAGAAAAAUAGACCAAAGGAAAUUAAAAAAUAAAAACAAAACAAUAUAUAAUUUUUUCUUAUUUUAUUAUAAGAAAUUGAAUUAUUUUAAAUAUAUUUUUAUCAAUUUUUUUCCAAAAAUUUGAGAUUUUUAUAGAGAACUCAAUAAAAAAAAUGAUUUUCAAUUUCUCUUGAAUAAAAACCAAACCCUAAAGUUACAUCAUUUUAUGCAUAUAACAACAAAUUUUAGCAAUUGUUAAUGACUAAGUAAAAAUUUUGUUAUCCUAAUAGAACGAGAAAUUGUUUUCCACAAGCACUCUUCAAUUGAAAAAUAUACAAAUAAUCGCUUGGUAGUAUAGCACAUUAAACAAUUCAAAAUUUUCUAAAUUAGGUUAUUUCAUAAUGUAUUAUAAUAUUAGUGAAUCGACAAAUCAUACUAGUAUAUUAACAUUAUUCACUCAAUACAUUGACAUUGUUUAAUCAUUUUUAUAAAUAAACAUAUAAAUAAAAUUACAAGUCUUAUGAAUUCAAAGUAGUACUUCAUUUGGUUUCAAAGAUGGUUCAUAAUAUAAGUAUGUAAGGAGUAUAGUAUAAUCAUACAAAAUUGUCAAUUUCAUAAAUAAAUAAAAAAAAAUUAAAUUUUCUCAAUUGGGUAUUGUUGUGAUAUUAGUAUAUUUAUAUUACAAGUAUAAUAUAUUUUUGUGGCACAUGUAUUUUACAACAAAAGUAAUAAUAUUAGAGAUUUUUUUUUUAUACCUCAUUAACAUCCAAACUUCAUAUUAGUGUAUUAACACCAUCCAUUCAAUGCACUAAAAGAAAAAAAAUCAAAAUUAUAUAUAUAUUUUUAAAAAUAUUUUAUUAUAAAAAAACUAAGACAAUUAAGCAUUCUAUAUCCAUUUCUAAUUUCUUUGGACAACCGAGGUGAAAAAUUAGAGAUUUUGUUAUCAUCAAACUUAAUAUAAAAAUAUAAUUUAUCAAUUUAAAAUUAGAAAAAACGUAAUACUAGGAAUUUUUUUCAAAUAAAAGUAAAAAUAGAAAUGUGUUUAAGCAUACAUUAGAUUCUAUUUUGAAAAUAUUUUUCAAAAGCAUUUUGAUCUUAAAUAUCAAAUUAUACCAUCAUCAUACAUUCCAAUUUGUAAGGGUAAAAAGCCAAAAUUUUGGUUUAAAAAUUAAGUGUUUAUUGGUUAUAGCUAAUAUGGGGCCAUUUAAAUGCCCUGAAAAAGUUUCACACGCUAAUGCCCUAAAAAAUUUCACCCAACUUUUAGUUAAAGAAUAUUUAUGAAAUUUUAACCUAUUAUUUUACUCAAUAGCCUUUGAGAGAAUUUUUCCAACGUGCCCCUACCUUCCCUGAAAAAUCCACUGUGGUUGUAAGAGAUUUAAGGGUGAAAUCCUUUUUCCCUACUGUUCAAGUGAUUGUUGCCUUGGAAGAUAAUCCUAACAAGCCUCACAUUGAAGCAAGUUCCAUUAUUGGGUUGCAGGCGAUGGAAUUGAACUAGCUUAGGCUCUUUCCCUACGACUAGGAAGAAAGAAAAUCCUUAUUCAUAAGUUAUUUUUUGUGUCUUGUCAUGCACUAAAAGUUAUUAAGAUAGAAUUAUUAAGCCUUUGAGAAGUAUAAGGUCCGCUAGGUUAAGGUGCGUCAAAUUGCAGUGCAUAGGAUUUGAUGGUGCUUAGUCUUAUUUUAACUUAAGAUGCAUAACUUAAGUGUGCAUAAGUUUUAUGUUAACCUAUGAUGUGCAACUUAAGUAGUGCAUAGGAUUGGGUGAUCUGUAACUUAUGGUGUGUAGGCUGUCUAAAACAUGACUUACAUAACAUAACUUAAGAAGAGUAUGGGAUUCGAUGGUGCAAGGUUAGUGGUGUGCCAACCUCCUUGCUUCUUUAGGUGCGUAACUUUGAGUUAUGCCAUAGGUGUGCAACUUUGAGCCUAGUCUUCAACAAUCCAAUACCUCAACAUAGUUAAAAUAAAGAUAAUAAAAAUCUCAUUUGAAUGUAAAAUAAAGACAUUUACUUUAAGUUUAAAAUGUAAAAUAAUGGAAUUCUCUCAUUUGAAUCCAAUAAAAAUAUAUUUAGAUGCUAAUUUUAUGUAAAUAAAAAUCUUAAACCUUGUUUGGAAACUAUUUUUUAAAACAGUUUUGUCUAUUCUCGAGAACAAAAAAAAAACCAUAAACAAAGUAUUUUUUAAGUAACAUAUUUUUAGUUUUUUUCACUUAUUUUAUAAGCGUUGUUUUAAAAAAUAACUAUAAAAAUGUGGAGAAUGAUUAAAAAUAUAUUAUUACAAAAAAAGUAAUUUUUAAAUUAUUUAAAAUUAUAAAAAUAGGUUAAAAAUAUUUCAAGUUUUCAAAUAAACUUUUGUUUUAUAAAACAUCAAAGAACAAUUUUUAAAACUAUUCUCAAAAACUAUUUUUGAAAUUUGAAAAAGAUUCUUAUUUUCCAAUUUGAUUUAUAAAUUGACAAUUUAUAUUGAAUUUUCUUCAAAAAAAUGUUCUCCAAGUAAAAUUAUCAUCGAUAAAAAUCCUGAAAAUUUAUUUUGAGUAUCAAAAGAGAGCCUUAUUUUCCAAUUUUAGUUACAAAUUGAUAGUUGCAUUGAAUUUUCUUUAAAAAAAAAGUUUGUUCAAGUAAAAUUAUCACUAAUAAAAAUCCUAAAAAAUUAUUUUGAGUCUCAUUAAUAUGAAAACAACAAAAUUUAUUAUUUUUUAUCUUAAAUUUUGAAAAAUUUAAAAAUGGUCUACUUCUCAUAAUGAAAUUAUGCACUAGGAUGCAUUUGAAAACUCUUCAUCCAUUAGACCAUAUUCUUGAACAAAAAAUAAAAAUAAAUUAGAAACUUAUAAAAUAAAGUUAAUACUAUUUUUAUUGAAAAAAUAAACUAAAAUGCAAUAAUAAAUAAAUAAGUAUUUGAAAAAGUAAAGAAAAAAAAAUCAUCUAAUUGUAACCCAAGCAAUAGAACUAUAAUUUUUAAUAUUAAAAAUGAAGAAAACAUAUUAUAUUACAAGCAUUAUAUCAUUAUCCAUUAAUUCAUAUUUCAAAUUCUAGAAUUACGAGACUAAUAUUUUAAUAUUAUAGUUUUAGAAUUUAGAGUAUGAUGAUUUUUAUAUUUAAAAAAAUUUCAAAUAAAAUUUAAGGAUGAAAAACUGGGCAAAACUUCAAAAAAAAUCUCUUCUAAGGUUGAAAACCAAAGUUUUCUUGGUGAUUUUUAAAGCAAAAAAAUACUUUUCUAAAGUUAAGAAACUUAGAUGGAGCUUGAUUCAAGCUGAAAGCUAGCAUUGUAGCACAAAACAUUGGUUCUUAGAAGGUUGAUCAAUCCUACUUGGGUAUAAGUUCUAUAUUGUGCAAUGUCUAACUGCUGCUCAACUAAUUGACUAAUUAAGUAUUAGCGGUUAUUUAUAACAUACAUCAAAUUUUAACAGCUAGUCAAUCGAUCAACCAACAUGGUAGAAACCUAUUUCUAAUUUAGUUUAUGUAAGUAUUACCUAUUUAUAACUCGUUAUUUCAUUUAUGAACUUUAAAACUCCUAAAAUGAGAAUUAUUAUUAAUCAUUUGAGCUUUAAUACAUUACUAACGCAUUAUACUAUUAGAAAAAAAACUUAUUAUCGAUAUUUUCUUACUCGUUGUUUUUUAUCAACACUAACAAAAAAUGUCCUUUUUAUCAUUGUCAAUAUAUGUUUUGAAAAACCUGGACAAUUUAUUAGCUUUGAUUGUCCUUAAUGUUGACAUCUAAGAAGCAUCAUGCAAAAGCAAUUACAGAUAUAUUGAUCCUGGAAGUAUACAAUAGAAUUUCCACAAGCAAUCAAAAUACCUUGAUGAUGAUGAUAAUGGAUUUGUUGCUUGUUAGAACUCAAAAUCAUAUUACUUAUGGUACCUUUAAAUUUGUCAAAUUUAUUCUUAUUUUUAUAUUUAACUACUUUUAUAAAUAAAUAAAUAAAUAACCAAUCCGAUAAGAUGAUGAAAAAAAUAUUGACGAUUGAUGAUAUAAUUGUAAUAAUUAAUUGAUCCCAAAAUAUGUUGUAAAACUUGUAGUUUAGGUAUAAAAUCUAUCUUAUAUAUAUAUAUUAUUAAGCAUAUAUAAAGACCAAAAUUUAUUAAGCAUAAAAAAUAAUAAACAAGGACUAAUGUUGCAUAAAAACAUAAAUUAAGGUCAUAAUAGGCUUAACUAACACAAGAAAAAAUAAAAUAUAAUGGUGCACUAGAAAUUGAACUUAUGAAAGGAAAAGUGAAUUUCAUUUAUAGUUGAAAGUCCUCACCUUAUCAGAAAGUACGGAAGUCAAUCAUUUCAUUUAUUUAAAAUAAUUAAAAUAAUUUUAAUUAUUUUUCCAUUUAAAAAAUUAAACACGAUGGGGUAAGGUAGGAUGAGUAUGAGAAUUUCUGAUAUCCGUCCGCUUUAACCUGUUUAUAUUUUUUUGAAAAUUUGAAAUUUUUUUUAAAACUUUAUUUUCAAUUUUUUAUUAUAUUAAAAUAAAUAUAUUUUAUAAAUAAUUAAAAUAUUAUAAUUUUUAUAACUUUUUAUUGAAAAUUAUUAUUAUUAUUAUUAUUAUUAUUAUAUAUUAAAAAUAAAAAAAAAAAAUUAAAUUAAAAUUUAAAAUUAAUUUUAUAUAUAAUUGAGAACAGGACGGGACAAGAUAAGGCAAUACUUGAACACACUCUAAAUCCGUCCUGCGUUUUAAAAAAAAAAAUCUCAAACUCACCCCUAACCUAAUUAUUCAAAUUCCAAAUGGGAUGGGUAGGACAUAUACUAAAAAAAACCCAUCCUAUUAUUAUCCCUAUUUAAAAUUCCUUAUCCUUCCACAAGUUCUUUUCUUAAAAAAUAAGAAUAUAUCAUACCAACAUUUCACUUAUGUUAUUGAUCCAUCAUAACUCUAUAUUUAUAAUAUUUUAAAAAUAAAAAUAAUUAAAAAAAAAUAGUAGUUUGUAUGUUACCCCUUAGAAUACACAAGCUUCCAGCGCAAUUUAUUAACCUAACAUAAUCAUAAUACAUGUGUUCACAAAUUUGCAAACAAGCUAGAUGAUAAGAUCCACCAAAUCAAAUCAUUUGUUUCAAAAUAGUCGAUUAUUAGUUUCAAAAUAGGUGGUUUACUAUACUGGUAUAUUAUUUAAGUGCAUUUCAUUUCAGGACCUAAAGAGUUUGUCCUCCCUACCUACAAUUUUCACAUGUACACAUAUAAAGGGGUUGUCAUAAUAAUUUGGUGGGCAUUUACAUCAUAGAAGAUAUUCUAGACCAAAAAUUUAUCAAGCUAGACAAUCAUGAAUAAUUUAUUGUUGGUGUAUUUCGAAAUUGAGAUCAAACCUCUUUUAUUAGUAUUACUAUGAAUAAAUCAAUCUAAAGAGCCUUGUGUGGGUCAACAAUAUGAAGUUUGGGUCCUAAUCCUUCUAUAUAUGUAUGGCAAGGAAACCAACUAAAUAGACAGUGCUCUCUUUCCACAUCUAUUGAAUCCUUAGAGUGCAUUCACAUAUUCAAGAGUUUUAUAGAGGGAUGGAGAGCUUAUAUUCUAUAUUCCAUUAAAAUCCCAUUUUGUUGCUACCACACAACUCCUUAUUUACUUGGGGAGCCAUAAAUGUUUUAAUCAUAUUUGCAACGAUGUUCAUGAAUGGUUCAGAAUAUUACAAAGAUUUUAAUCUUUGGACCGUUGGAGAUGGGGUUACUUCGAUAGUUUGUACAAGUAUUUUCGUUCCACUAAUUACUAUUAUUCUAGAUAUGUCAUAGUACGGGAUUAUUUGGACUACAAUAUCAAACCAAAUGAUAAAGCAAGAUUUGAUAAGUAAUAGUCAACAAAUGGGAAUUCAUUUAUCAACAAAUUUUUUUCUUUCAUUUGAACUAAUUUCGAUAAUUCUUUUAAUUGUUUUGAUAGUAGAUUUGAAGGGUUUGUCAAAGAAUUUAGACAACUUUGGAUCUACAUGAACAACAAAAUUUGUGUCCUACAAGGUGCACAAGUCAUGAAUGGCCUGAAAAUAGCAACCAUUAUAUUUUGAAUGGUGUAAGUGAGAACAUAAAGAAGUAUGCCAUAGAUGUAAAAAGAAUAUAAUAUUAUUAUCUUUUUAGGGUGCAAAAAAUAACUUGUAAAUUGCAUGGCUAGAAGAUAAAAACCUAUAUAUUUUUUUCAAGAGCUAUUUCAUUUGAUGUUUUAGGUCUACAUUUAAUUGCAAAAAAUGGACUUUAAUUACUAAGUACUCAAUGAACUUUGGUUUUUAACUAACGAGAAAACUACUUACUAAGUACUUAAUUUCAUUCUUGAUGUUGUAUUGCUGUACCACGUAAAUGAGAGGAGUAGAGUCAACUAACUUUCUUACUUUUCACAUGAAUUUUGUUUAAAAGUUAUUAAUAUAUUUAGUUAUUAUAUAUUUAUUAUUUGGUUACUAUAUCUCUUAUUUAUUUAGUUAUUAUAUUAGAAUUAUUUUAUUUCUUUUUAGAAGUAAAGGUAAAUUAAUCUUCAUUUUCUUUAUUAGGUCUAUGUAAAUUCUAACGGUGUUGUACCUAUUUUCAAGAUAAUUCAUAAUAAAAAAUUUAAAAUUUUUCUCUCCUUUUUGCUUUGAUUUUUUUUUUGGAUUUCAACAUGGUAUUAGACCAAAAUUGAUUUUUAAUAAAACUUUUUGAUUUGUAAUCUCAUGGAAGAGAAUUUAAUCUCAUACAUUGUUUUCAUAUUUGUUUUAUCUUGGAAUUUUUUUUUUUUUUUGUCAUAUUUGAUCAUGGGAUAUCGUAAUAGGUGAUCGCAUCAUUAUUUUCUUAUUUGAUCAUGGUAUUUGAUUUCCUAUUCUUUUUCUUUAGUUCGUAUCUACUUUCUUUUAUUUGGUAGUUACUUGUUAUUUAUUUGUCUUGAGCAAGAUGAUUUCCUUCAAUCUAUUUUGUGUGAGAUUGGAUGAAAAAAAAAUUAUUCAUAUCGGAGUUAUGUGAUGAAAAUUUUUCUAAAGGACAAAAAUAUGUGAGGUUAUAUUGUUCGUAUUCCCUUUAGAAAAAUUUUUGUGAUAGAAUCCAACCAAAUCUCCAAAAUGAAUAUGAUAAGUACAUAAACUAUAAACCGAAGGAUCAACACAUUGAAUUGGUCUAAGAGAUUAAUACCUUAAAGUUGAUUUAAAUAUAGGGUGUAGAUUGCUCUUAAGAUCUAAUUCGAUCUUGAUGAAUGUUAGUCUUUAAUUUAGUACUACUGAAGUUAGAUUGUACUCUUCGUAAGUUUUAUUAUAGAAUUGAUUAUUACCACUUGGAUUGUGAACUCUUCAAAGGUUUGUAUUAUGGAUUUAAAUAAAAAAAAUUAUCUUGAUUUUUCAUAAAGUGCAUUUGAUAAUGAUUUUAGAAGAUGUUUUUAGUCUUUCUAAUAUUUUAAAAAUAAAAUUUUUCUAGUGUAAUUUUAUAGCAUUAGAAAUGUUAGAAACACUUUGUACAAUUACCACAAAACAUACUCUUAGUCAAACUAUAGAUGUCUUUAUAAUGAUAUGCAAGUUGUGGUGAUUCAAGGUGAUUCUUGACAGGUUUGCCAUAUUUUUAAGUUUUAGUAAAUUAAUUACAGAAAGUAGUAUUACUAAUCAUAGUAACCUUAAUUUUUUUUACGAAAAGUGUGAUUUGAUUCACUAAUAUAAAAUUACAUGGAAAAAAUUACCCCAAAUUUUUUAAAAUUAAUAUUAUUUUCAUCUAUUUAAAAAUAAUUUGAAAUACAUGUACUUUUAAAUGAGUCAUCUAUUAUUCCCAAAAAUACCUUUUUAUUUGUCAUGUCAUUCAAAUCAAUUGAUAAUUAGACUCCUUCAUAUAAAUGUUUCAUCUUCUUUUAGAUAUUUUAUUAUUAUUAUUAUUAUGAUUUGAGAUUUUUUUUCUCUAAAAACAAACACCGUAUAUGAUUCUUAUUUUAGUUUCCUACAAGUUUAGAAAAUAUUGUACAAAAAAAAAUCCUAUUUAAAUAGGAUUAAUAUUUUUUUUUUAUUUUCUAGAAUUUUAGGAGGAAAUGUUGUCAAACAAAUCCUACUUAAUCAUAAUUAUCAAUUCAAAAAACAAUAAGGUUAUUUAUUAAAUAAUAAAUAAUAAAUUUAAUAAUAUAUAAUUAUUUUAAUUAUGAUUAAUUUAUUUAAUAUAAAAUAAUUAUUUAUUUAUUUAUGUUUAUAUGUAUAUCAAAGUACAACCAUAUUAUAAAAUAUUUUAUAUCUAAAAAAAUCUUACAACAAAUUUUAUUUUCUAUUAUAUCAAACAAUUAUUAAUAUUAUAUAAUAAAUACAAAUUUAUUAUUGGUAUAUCAAACAAUUAGUAAUAUUAUAUAAUAAAUACAAAUUUAUUAUUGGUUUAUUUAUUAUCAAGAAUAUGAAUUUAUUUUUAACUUAUUAAUACUAGAAUAAACUCUUUUUUUUUUCUUUUUCUUUUUUUAUCAAAUUCUUACCUUAUAAUGUUUCAAGAGAAAAAAAAUAUCACAUAAUAAAAUAAUAAUAAUAAUAAUAAAAUAUCUAAAAGAAAGAGGAACAUCAGUCUAAUUGUCAAUUAAUUUAGAUAACAUGACAAGUAAAAGGACAUUGUUGGGAAUAAUUGGAUGAUUCAUUAAAAAAUACAUGUAUUUUAAAUUAUUUUUAAAUAGAUAAAGAUAAUACUAAUUUAAAAUUUUUAGGGUUCUUUUUUCUAUGUAUUUUCAUAUUAAUGAAUCAAAUCUCACUUUUCCCUAAUUUUUUUUUUCAAAUAUUACAUUUUAUCAAAUGCUCAUUGAACUUGAAUAGGUUGAAUGGGGUUUAUACUCAAUAUAAUCUAAAUUGAAAAACAUUCAACCUAGUCCAAUCUAAUCUAAUAUCAUUUUUUUAAACUGGGGUUAGGUUAAACAAAAUUGUUAGAUUAAUCAAAUUGUAUAAGUCAAAAGCAGGUUGGAAAAGGUUGGAUUGGAUUAAUCCCACAUGAAUUUUUUAAAAAAAAAAAAAAUUCUAUGUAUUUAUACGAAAAUUUAAACUUAUUUAAAAAUAGUAAUAAAAAUAUAAAAAUAAACUCGUCUCGUAUCAUUAUAAUUUGAUAUUUUUCCCAAAAAAAAAUUAUAAAAAUAAUAUUAUAUAUGCUAAUAUAAAUUAUAAAUAUUAUAAAAUAUUUCAUUAUUUGGAUUGAUGCAAUCCAAUUGAAUUUGGGUUGAAAACUUCAAUUCGUAUUAGGUAAAACCGACCAACUCAAGUUUCCCCGAGAUUUUAAUUCUGCACCCAAUCCCAAAGGCCCUAUGUAUAAAGUUCUUUUGAUGAUAGGAACAAAUUUAGAUUGUAAAUACAUUGGUCAAUUUUUGUUAGAAAAUGUUUUUUGAGAUUUUUUUUUUUGAAAACAAACUGUUUCUUAAAACAAAAUUUAGAUGGAUUUGAUUGUGUUUUUGGAAAGAGUUUUAAGUAAUAAUUAAUACAAAGAAAUAAUAUGUUGAAAUUUUUUAUGUUAUACGAUACCUUUUCGAAAAAUAAGUUGAAAAAAAAAGUAAUUUUUCAUAUUUCAGUUCUCAAAUAAAAUUUUUAUUUUUAAAAACUAUUUUUGAAAACAUUUCCAAACAUGCCCUUACUAGCUUCGCCAUUUUGGGUUUUUAUUUUUUCAAGGACAUUCAACUUGCAUGAUAUAAGUUAGAGAGAAUAUUAUUAUAAAUUAAUAUUGUUUAAUUAUCCCUAUGAUAAACCACCUAAGCAAAAAUGAAUAUCUUUUCCUAAUCUCAAAUCUAGAUUUAUCCAAAAUAGAAAGAUGAAAAUCAUUAAUUAUUUGGGACAAUUGCGUUUUGGACCCAGACCAGUUGGGCCCAAAAAUUAAGAUUUGGCCCAUAAAAGUUGUAUAAUUGAUAGGAAUGAUAUAAAAUAUGAAAAAAUCAAUAUACCCUUCAAAACUAUUUUAAGUAUUUUCUACCAUAACGUUUGAUAAACUUUUUUAUUUUAAUUUUUUUAAUAAUUAUUUUGAAAAUUUAUUAUUUUUAUAAAACUAAUUUUUUUAAAAAUAUAUAUAUAUUCUAAAAAUAUAUCAUUAAAAGAAAUUUUGACAUAUUUUUAGUUAUUUUUUACAUACAUAAUUUUAAAUAUAUAUAUUUUCCAAGAUGUUUGAUUUUUAAAUAAUAAUAAUAAUAAUUUAUUUUUAUUUUUUUGGAAAAUGGUGUGUAUUUUUUCCAAAUCACUAAAUUAAAUUAAAUUUUAUUGAGGUUUAUAAAAUGAAUAAAAUUUAAAUUAAUAUUUUUCUACUUUUUUUUUUAUAGUCAAUAAAGGUUAUUUUUGGAAAGAUAAAAAAUUUAUAUCCUUCUUCUCAAUUUUCACACUUUCUUUAGGUCUUGGGCUUAAAUGAUGAACUUAUAUGGACCAAAGUUUAAUUUUUGGGUGCAACUAGGUCUAAAAUACAAUUGUUCCUAAUUAUUUUGAUGCAAGAUUAUGACAAGUUUAAGAAUAUAUCCCCAAAUCAUGUACAAAACAUAGAUAUGAAAAUUUCAUGAUAAAUUAAAAUCUAAUUUUUUAAUAUUUAAAAUAUAAUAUCUUUGUAUUUAAUGAACUAUUUUUUAUUAUUAUUUUACCCAUUUGUUGUGUUUUUAAAAACAAUAUUUUAUAAUAAUUCACACGUUAAAAAUAAUAUAAUGUCUUAUAACAUAAUAAAUUAAUAAAUUAACUCAUACUUAUAUACCAUCUAAAUGCUUAAUAAAAAGGAAUAUUUUUCUUUUAUAGUUUUAUAAUCAAAUUCAUGCAAAUCAGGGAUGAGAAAGUUUGAUACAAUUCAUCUUACGAGUCAAAACUAACACAUUUUUCACAAGUUUAGAUUGAAUAUAAUUAUAUUUGGAUUAUAUUCAUAUUCAUAUUGUUUUUUUUUUAUAGGUAAAUAAAAGCAUAUAUUAGAAAAACCAACACACGAUGAAAAUAGCAUAUGCAAAGUAUACAAUAAACGCCCAAAAAACUAGGCAUCACAAAGACAAAUAAGCUCACCCCUUACUUAACAAAUAACCAAUCUACAAAUCAAUUAUAGACGAAGUGUGAUUCUCUAUAUACACCCUAACCUAAUUCACAAAAUUAUUCAAAAAAUAAUAUUUGAUGGCUUGAUCAACCCGACAUCAUUGAAAGCUCUCCCAUAAGAUCCACAUUAGGCAUGCAGGGGCAGCCCUCCACGCCUUCGCCCUUCUUUUACCCACAAAAGUGUCAUUUCAUCUAAGCAAGUUCUCCCUCACGGUGGAAUGCAAAACUCAUUGCACAACAAAGAGGGAGAAGAUCGGAUUCAUAUCGAUACAGUGGAAUGCAAAAUCCAUUGCACAACGAAGAGGGAGAAGAUCAGAUUCAUAUCGAUUUCGUUAUGCAUAACUCAUUUAAUAAGUAGAUUGUUUUUAGGUCAAUUGUAUUUCAUGAAUUUGCCUUGAAUUAAAAUUUUAAUAAUAGUAUUGAUCAACUUGAUUAUAUCUUUAACUUAUUUAAUUCAUAUUUAACUCAAUUCUAAUUGAAUGUUGAAUAAGUAGGUUAAUUUCAUCAUAAAUAUAUCAAUUAAAAAGAUUAAUCAUAUUGACGGAAACAAGAUGUAACUCAACUUAAUUAUUAAAUAAAAUAUAAUUAUUAAAUGUACUAAGUCAAUUACAUAUGAUGCAUUACCUAUUUAAUAAUUAGGCUAUGUUUGGAUUUAUACUUUUAAUCUAAUAAUAAUAAUCCAUGUCAUGUUCAAAAGUCCGAUUUAAUCGAGGGUCUAUACUUUGAUUGCCACAAACACUAACCCACCUACACAAAUUGUCACCCUAUUCCAAAUAUAAAAUAAGAAUUAUCAAAUCCUACCAAACACAUUCAUUUGGCAUGGGUUUCCCAAACAAACGUGGCCUUAAAGUGAAUGCAUUUAACGCCCGUACUCCCCGUGAAUAACACUAGUCUUGUGAAAAAUGCAUAAUAUUUUAAGCUUUAGGCAUUCAUUCCAAUUCAGGUUUCAAAUUGUUGGAUGACACAAUUCCAAUAUUAAGCAACUUCAUUGCAAGCACAGACAAUUGAAGAGAAGCCAAUGUGCAGAACAAGUUUUCUUCUUCUAUUCUGUCUACUGUUCCUGACAUUAAUUCGUCUAAGAUGCCUUUCUCCACAACAAAGGCCAAAUGGUUUCUUCCUCCAACUGAAAAGAUUCAUCAGGCUAUUUAUUUUUGCUAGGACAUGUCCUGAUAUUGUGUCCUUUUUCUAGGCACAACCUGCAGGCAUAUAUCCUACUUCCAGAAAUUAGAGAACCUCUGUUUGUACCACCGGCAUCUAAUUUUAACCCAGUACCUUGAGGGCAUGUCCUGCGGUUAUGGCCGCUAUGACCACAUAUCCUACAAUGGUGAUGCCUUGAAACCGUGCUUCUGGUACCACUUUCUCUUGACCUCCGACAGGUUCUUCUAUUAUGGCCCUUUUCCCCACAUAACCGACAUCUGAACCGCCUAUCCACUGAACUAUUGGCGAGUUCAGGACAGUAGUGUCUCCUAUGACCUUCACGUCCGCAGUUUUUACAGUAAAAUUUGGCACCUGCAUAAGAAAGAGGAAUUGGUUGAUUGCAAAUUGCAUAAGAAAAUUCAACGACAAAAAAAAUGAUGGAACUAUCAAUUAUUUAAUGAGUCAUUAAGCACACAAACCUCUAAGUAUCCAAAUUGUUUAAUAAAAACUACAACCUGCUUGUCAGGAAGCCAAGGCAUUGCCAGCACUAGCCCUACAAAAAUACUUUGGCAGCCGAUUAUGGGGUCCAUAAACCAAAUCAGUCACAUGGUCAAGAUUCCAAACAUGUUGAAGAUUAUGGUAGUCCUCAAGCUAGUGCAUUCCACAAAAUAUGAAUUCUUCAUAGAAGUUAUCAGGAACCAGGGCCCUUUUACAAGAUUCAGGCCGAAAUGGUUUCAGAGUAAUAUCAUAUUCAAUUGAAGAAGGUGAAUGUGAUUCUAUAGUGUGUCAGUGUGGGUAAAAUGUUUAUCCGAUCAUGUACACCACCAUGGAAUGGACAUGUAAUGGAAAUAAUAAAAGACAAAAACAGGCAUGUAAGGCCUGGAUGAAGUGGCAAGGAGUUGGGGUGGAGAUGAGAGAGGUUCUUGGUUUGAUUUUGCAGAGGACAAAAAAUUGUGGCCUAUCAAAAAAGGAAAAAGGGAACAAAACAGAUCUAGAAGUGAAACACCAAGUUCGGUUCAAAAUCAUCUAGCAAACAAUGUAAUGAACCAAUAAAAAACAACAUAUAUUAGGAUGUAGGGGGAAAGAAAGCAAAAACAGAAGAUGUUAGUUUAACAAAGCCAUCUACAUUAACAAUAGAGUACAUAAACUGACCUUUCAUGGCAAUGCUUCUCUUACGACGGUUCUCUGGGUCACGGAAGAAAGCUUUCAAAGCUUCAGAAGCACGCUUUCUUGCUGCAGCAGUACCUUUGGCUUUCUGCAUAAAGUACUAACUGGUAAAUCUCAGAAGAUUUAUUUUUACUAAUGUUGGGUUAUCACAUGUCACUCUUUCCUUUUACAUUAGCACAUGUGUCCAUUGAAAUCAUCAAACAUCUUGACGCAUGAAAUGCACUUAUGAGUUCAUACUUCUAAUCUUCUAACAUGCAACAUGCUUUAAACUAAAACAGAAAAAUGCAAAAUAUGUAAAAUAUCAUUCAUAUGCUCCAGAGUCUUUACACUACAAUAGAAAAUUGCAAAAUAUGUAUGUAAAAUAUCAUUCAUAUGAGGUAACUCCAGAUUCUUAGCUGUCUAUAAAAGGGAAUUCAAUAAAAUUUGCAACUCCUGAGUUCCAAUGGAAAAAGAAAGGAGCCUUCACUUUCCACACCUUAAUUGCAGCCACUCUUUGCGCAUGAAGCUUUGGAUCACGAUGAAUGAUCUUCAUUCUCUUACUAAAAAGACCAGUUUUGGCAUUGAGACUCUGCAAUCAUCCAACUAAACAAAAACAAUUAAAUUCAUGAUCCAGCCAACAUAAAUCCUUGCCAGUUGAAAAUAAUUUCAACAAAGAAACGAAUGUAAAAUAUUAUAUUGGGAAAUUAGAUAAAAGUAGGGUGGUGAGCUCAUGUUCAUGUGUUUAGUCUAAAUUCGUCACAAAUGGUAGACAGAAAGGCAUGUACACAUUUAUAAUGUUAAAUUUCUUACUGAUGUGCAGUACAAAAUUUAUGGAAUACAUGUCAGGUAAUGUACGGAAAAAAUUCCUUAAUCUCUUCCAAACCUCAACCGCAAAUUGGCUUGUCUUUUAAACAUUAAAAAGGAAAAAAACAAUCAAGGAACAAGCAACCAGGAGCUUCAUAGAAUGGAUGAUUGGCUUUUUCAUGUGUCCAGGGUGGCUAGUAUCUAUAUUAGUUUGCUUGUUUUUUGUUUUGUUUCUAUAUUUCUACUUUUUUUUGAAUGAAUUUCUUGCUCAAACCUAAAGAAAUAAUUACAACUAUAAUUUUAACUCAUUGUGAAGGUUCCAUUCUAUAAUUUUUUGAUGAGAGAGAAAUAUAUGUAUAUAGUUUGAUAUGGCUAGACUGUUGGACACACCACAUUAUGCAGACAGGGUGCUUAAGGCACCACACAAAAUGUCACCAACAUCAACUGGAUAAUGCUCAUCCACCAAAAUUAGUAGGUCAAAAUGGGGCAAGUCUUUGAAGUUGUUGACUGCAGGUUUCCUGUAUAUAAACAGGAUGCACCCUGACACAAUUUUUUUUUUUUUGAUACGUAAAAAUGCAAAUAUAUUAAAAGCGCAAGAAAAAGCGCACUAGGUACACACGGAGUAUAGAAGGAAUGCAAAAGAGCAGAAGAAGGAAAAAGAAACAGCAAACCACAACCCAAAACAAGGAGCCCAAAACAAAGACAACACCCUGUAUGACAGAGAAGUAGAGGCUCCCAAACUACUUAACCUAGGCCAAAGCAGCAACUAAAGUCUUCACCAAGGGCCACUCCCCCAAGCCCCUACCUGAGGCAGUUGCACAAUACCCCUUGAAAAACAAACAAACCAAACUACAGAUCCCUUACAGGAAGCAAACAGCAAGAAAACAUUCUCUUCCUCUCCACCUACCUCUCUGCUUUCCAACCCCUCACCUUAACCUAGGCUGCACCCCAACACUUGAAUGUGAUGCUAAUCCAAGCUUAGCGCCCAUUUACAGCUAGUCCAAAUAAUGCACCACAAGAUCAUGGAAUGACUGGAUGGUCUCAGCCUGGUGUCUUAAGCAGAGACUCACAAGUGGCAGCAAGCAUUGCUAGGAAUCUUUUGCCUUCCUAAUAGGGAUUAGAGUUCCUCAUCAUCUCCCUGAAAUGUCUACGAUACUCAACCAUUGAAAAAAAUUGCCUGAAAUAGCUGACAGGCUUAACUGGGUUGGAAAUACUAUAUCACUUCAGCCUACAAUAGCCUCAAAUUGAGCAAUUGAAGUACACUGAGAAAAUCUAGACAGGUUGAGGAAGGAAAUACCAAAGGGUCAUAAAAGUAUCUAAAGACAAUAGCCAUCUCUCAGUUCCAUUAAUGUUAGUAUAUAAUUAUUGUGAUUGAACAG